rnacentral:lncRNA from 1 species
AAAAAGAAAUCAUGUAGUGCACUAGUCUGUCUGAUGCAGCGGUUUUCAGUCCAAAAGCAGUGCGGUUUUCUUCCUCGUCUUCAAAAAUUUACGUCCCACAAAAAAGAAAUCAUGCAGUCCGCUAGCCCGUCAGAUGCAGUGCGGUUUUCAGUCUAAAAGCAGUGGAGUUUUCUUCCUCGUCUUCAAAAAUUUACGUCCCACAAAAAAGAAAUCAUGCAGUCCACUAGCCCGUCUGAUGCAGUGCGGUUUUCAGUCUAAAAGCAAUGCACUUUUCUUCCUCGUCUUCAAAAAUGUACGUCCCACAAAAAAGAAAUCAUGCAGUCCGCUAGCCCGUCUGAUGCAGUGCGGUUUUCAGUCUACAAGCAGUGCGGUUUUCUUCCUCUUCUUCAAAAAUUUACGUCCGACAAAAAAAUCAUGCAGUCCGCUAGCCCGUUUGAUGCAGUGCGGUUUUCUGUCUCAUGUAGUAUACACAAUGAUUUGGGUGUCGCGAAAAACAAAGUGUCCGCGUUUUGGUAAAUUCAAAAUUGCUCUUAAACCGUAAGGAAUUAGAGAGCGUGUUCUACAUGAAAAAGUUGUGCCUCGUCGAUAUCUUUCCAACGGUGUAUGAUUUGAAUCAUUUCGAUCAGCGCUUUGUAAAAAUUCCGCGAAAAACGGCCGCUGCCUCUCACCGCCAGCCGCACGAUUUUCAAAAUUAACUAAAAACCGUAAGAAAUAUCAAAAACAUUUCAACAUAGGAAAGUUGCGUCUCAUCCAUAGCUUUUCAACAGUAUAUUACACGCCUCUUUUCGAUAAACAGUUAGAAAACUGGAGCGAAAACAGUACCAAAAAUUUGUAAAAAUUUAAAAAAUAGAAUUACGCGAUUUAGUAAAUUUGAAACUGCUCUUAAACCAUAACGAAUUAGAGAAAAUAAUACAUAUGAAAAAGAUGUGCCUCGAUGAUAUCUUUCCAAUGGUAUAUCAUUUGCUUCAUUCCGACAAGCGGUUUAGAAAAGAAAACACAAAAAACGUUUUCUGCCACUUGUCGUACGCCGCACCAUUUUCAAAACUGCUCUUAAACCGCGAGGAAUCUCAAAAAAUGUUCAACAUGACGAAGUUGCACCUAAUCCAUAGCUUCUCAACGGUAUAUUACACACCUCGUUUCAACAAACAGUUAAAAAACUAGAGCAGAAAAGGUACUGAAAAAACACAGCAUGCAGUUUUUUUGCGACACGAAGUUCACUCGCCUGAGUACUGCAGCACACUUGGUUCAAACAAUGACGUGCACUUGCGUUGAGCGUGCUGUGCGGAAGUGUUAUUAGAAUAGUUAGUCUGCUAAUAUUAGCAGAAUAGACCGGCUGUAUAUAUAUAUAUAUAUCCACUCGGAUGUAAGUUAUCAUAAAGUAUCAUUGUUGACAUUAUCCUUGAGGUAAAAGGUUGGGAGGCGAAACUAUAAGCCCCUAUCUUUCUCUGUGUCCGAUUGAAGCUUUAAACCCAUAAGUAUCGCGUGAGUGUUAGCAAUUGCGAAAGAUUAAAUGAUAGUUGAGUAUGUGGACUUGCUGAAAAACUCUUAUAUUGACUCUUUCCGAUGUUAUGAUAAAUUGCAAUUGCUUUAGUGACUAAGAUCAUAGUUCGUUAGUUUUCAAUGAAGUUUUUGAUUCAUACUUUACCUUGUGAACGAAUUAUUACUUUAGCAUAAGAAAUUAUAUGACAAUAUAUGUUGUUGUUCUAAAGAUGAUCUUGACGCCCUCAUGUCCGUAUUUUAUUUUAUCAACACCUCUAUCUCUAAACAUGUGGACGUAUUUUUCGACUUCGACUUUCGCUUGAGGACAAGCGAGAUCUAAGCUUGGGGGAGUUGAUAUGUCCAUUUUGCAUCAUGCUUUUAUAUUGAUAUUUAUUGCAUUAUGGGCUGUUAUUACACGUUGGCACAAUAAUUAUGCCUUUUCUCUCUUAUUCUACAAGGUUUACAUGAAGAGGGAGAAUGUCGGCAGCUGGAAUUUUGGACUGGAAAAGGAGCAAAUAUUAGAGACCUAUUCUGCACAACUCCAAAAGUCCUGAAACUUCACAGAGAAUUAUUUUGGAAUAUAUAAAAAUAUGGGAAAUUUGAUUUUAUACCCCUAGUUGUGUCACCCUCGGUAGGUUUACCCCUAGUUUUCGAAAACCCUCGUUCUUGCCCAACUCACUUUGGUUUUCUUAUGCUUUUGCCCUUCCGGCACGGUUCCAUCUAGUCAGCGUCGUUUGACUGCUACCGGCGCUAGAUUUUGGACAUUUUUCCCCUGUGGUUGCUAACUUCAGUACCCCUUCAUCCUCAGCCAGCUCUCACGAAAAACAGAGGAAAGGAAGGCGCGACCAGAUUGGAGGGGGGACCGGGACGCAGGAGAAGAAGGAGCCGGUGCGCAUGGCGAGCUCGGGCUCAUCCAGCUUCUCGCCGGCGACCGGAGAGGUAAGCAAUGUGGUGGGGUCGUGCUUCUCCACCCUACCCGACAUUUUGGGGUUCAAAGCUAGGGUUUGUGACAUUUUGGGGGAAAUUUGACUUUUUUUUAGGUCGAUGGGGUCGGGAUUGUGCAGCAUUCAUCAGAGUUUUAUCUUCCUGACGAGUCUUAUUCCGGCUUGGAGUUUCUGUCGAAGCAUCGAUGCCCCGGUCAUGGCCUUGUUCCUGCCCGGCGUGUAUCAUGGGGUGGUGCAAGCAGUGGCCGCCAUUUUUUAGGUUGCCCAUUGGAUGUAAGUUCAUGUCAAAUUGAUCCAGAUUUGUUUUUUGCUCUCUAAUUUUUACUUUUCUAAUUAUGACUCUUGAUUUAAAAUUAGUUACCAGAUGAGUGUGACUGGGUGGUUUGGGUUGACCCAGCUCCUCCAUUGCGUGUUGGACUAGCUUUUGAAGACUUGCACGCUGAGGUUGAAUGCAGUUGGAUCAAGUGCCACCAUUUGAAGAAGGAAAACAUUGAGCUGGCAAGGAAGAACAAGGCUUUGAAGAAGCUUAGAGAGAGAGAUGAGAUGUUGUUGUUGUGGGCACUGUUGCUUGUGGGAAUUAGUAUGAUAGUUGCACUACUAUGGUAGUUGUCGAAGAAAUUAUGCAGUUGUUCGAUGUCAGCUAUAGUAGUUUGGUAUUCCAAGAUGUUGUUGUUGUCAAAUGUGGUCUUAAACUUGUCAAAUGUGGUUUGGUGAAUGAAUUUGAUCUUGCCAGCUGAAUUUGAUCUUGCCAACUCAAUUUGAUCGUAAACUUGUGAAAUGACAGAUGAAUGACACAAGUUCAACAACAACUUGAGAUCAUACAACAUUGUGCAACACAUAUGAAUGACACAAGUUCGACACCCUUAAGAUUAGACCACAUUGUGCAUAACAACACCAAGUACAUAACAACAUCAUAGCACACAGUAGACAUAACAGGUGCAUCUCAGAAGUUUAGCAACAUCACACAGUACACAUAACAAUAAAUAAAAGGUGUAAAAACACCAUCUAGUUGAUAACAGCAUCUAGAACUUCAGUUUUUUGCUCCUGGUGUUUCUGGCUGGGUUUGGAGCUUCCCUUGCCUUGCUUCUAGUGUUUUUGGCUGGGUUGGGGCCAGUUGGUGGAGCUUGGUUUUGUGCUGGUUCUUUUGAUGCAGGAGUAACAACCUUGUUGUCAACACUGCUUCCAGUAGCUGAGAAUGUAGUUGCUGGUUGUACAUCUCCACCUCUCUUCUCUUUCACACACCUUGGAGAAGCUCCUCUAUCUGCUGCUUUUUUAUAGUUUUUCCUAGGGCUAAACAAUUGCAAAUAUGUCACAAAUUGUAAUGUAUGCAUGAACAGAAAUGGAUGUGAGAAUUCCACAUACCUUACUACACUUGCUUGUGUAGAUGCAUCGCCCCUUAUCAAUUGGCUCUGAACAUCUCAACAGAGUAGUACUUAUGGACAUACUUAUCAAUUCACUAGCAUCACCCCUUAGAGAAGUGAUGAAGAAAAGUGCAUGGAUGCAUGGCUUACCAGUGACCUGCCAUUGCCUGCAACUGCAAGUCCAUUUCUCCAGGUCCACAGGAUACCUCCAUUCUCUCUUCUCUCUGUCAGUUGCAGUUACCUUAGCCUCUGUUGGGCUUCUCCUAAUAAUGCUCAUCUCCAAACCUUUAGUUUUCUCCAUUAAUGCCUUCAUUACUGCUGGUAUGAUGUUGUGCCCAAUGAAAUGGUCAAUGCAAAUUAUUUUUCUUAGGUCAAACUUCUCCAUAAUGUACUGCCUGAUCUUGUCAAGCAGGUCAACUAGGUGUAGGCCCUUGUAUUUCUUGAUUCUAGAGUUGAAUGAUUCAGCUAGAUUGUUAUUUACAUAGUCAACCUUGCUCAACUCAGUGAAAUCAGCUCUAGCCCAGAUUUUGGUGUGGUGCUCCUCAAGAUACUCCUUCACUUUGAGCUUGCUUUUCAACUGGUUCAGAUGAUAAUUGUGCUUUUUGAUGCUGUAAGUUAGUGAGCAAGGCCACAGAUUGUCAUCAUAAAAUUUCCCUUUGAAUUUCUUGCCAAAAUUUUGAGACAAAUGUCUCAUGCACUCUCUGUGCUCAACUCCAGGAUAAACAUCAUCAACAUCACUCUCCAGUCCUUUGCAAGCAUCAGUAUGGAUAACUAAUCCUUCAGGAUGUCCUAUAACUUUCUUCAAAUUAUUGAAAAACCAUGUCCAACUCUCAGUGGACUCCACUUCAAGAACACCAUAUGCAACAGGAAAUAACCAACUGUGUGCAUCUAGGGCACAUGCUGCUACAAGUUGGCCCCUAAACCUACCAUGCAAUGCAGUUGCAUCUACAGCCAAGUAUGGCCUGCACCCCUCUAGAAACCCCUUCUGACAAGCUUUGAAACACACAAAAACCCUUCUAAAACACUCUUUGUAGAAUUUCUUUCCUUUUAACUUGUACUCCACUGUGUGAUGGUCAAUGUCAACAACACUGCCUGGUGAUGCCCUCUCUACUUCUGCUUUGAAGGCAAAAAGUAACUGAAAACUAUCACUGUACUUACCAUAUAUCUUGUCAAGUGCCAUUUCCUUACCAUAGUAGCAUCUACUGUAAGGCACCUAAAGACCAUACUUCUCUAACAACCUACCCUGAAUUUCCUUUGUGCUAAUCCCUGGAUUUUUUCUGAUCCAAGCCAUAGAAGCAUCUGCAAUCCACCUUCUUUUUGCAGCUCUCAAUCUCUGAGAUCUGUUCACACUAGGACAUGUGUGAGGGUGGGGGUUCACUUUGAUCUGAAAGUAAAACAAGGAAACAAAUGGUCUGUCAGUACAACAUUAGUAAUACAAAAAGUCACAAUUUUAAAACAAAUAGUAGUAAACUAAAUAGCUAGUACCUGAAACAAAGUGCUCCUCCUCAUCACAAAUGCAUGCAGCCUCCACUUACACCUGUCAUAGGCACAUUUAAUAGUGAACCUACUCUGGUCACUCUUCAGCGUGAUGUACUCAGUUUCAGACUUGAUUGAGAAUGUUCCAACUGCAUUUUUGCAAUCAACUGCCCCAGGAAAGACCACACUUCCUCAAUGCUUGGGUUAUCUGUAUCAUACAUCAUGACAGGUCUGUCCUCAUCUGCAUCCUCAAAAGUUCCCAUGUCAUGAUCCUCUUGCCUUUCAUCUUCAUCAGUAUCUGAAAAUUCUGCAGGUAUGUAGUCUUCAUUUGUUGUAUGUUCCCGAUUAUUUUGUUGUACAUAACCUGGAUAAAGCUUCUCAUCCUCCUCAUUAGACAAAAUAGGUGCAUCGGGCAGUGCUUCCUCCACAACUGGAUCAGGUUGAUCUUCUUGUUUCUCAGUGACAGUUGGAGCAGUUGGGGUGGUACUAGCACUUGCUGCACUAGUGCCAGGAGCACUAGGAGUACUGGUAGCUCCUGGCCUAGAUGCACAUGGUCUACCCCUUCUUCUACCUCUGGUCCCUCCAGCAGUGUCCUAGAUGCAGGUGUUUUCUCACACCUUUCUCCUCUCUUCCUCUGAAUUACUGUAAUUUCCAAAUUGCAUGACCUUGUCUCUGCAUUUCUUGCAAACAUCAAACCUAACUCAUCAUCACACUGCAAAGGGUUCCAACUCUCCUGUGAACUAUCCAAUAUGUUAUUUCAACAGCAUCAAACAAUCCCCAUGGAUACUUUGCACAAAUAUUAGCCCUAAAAUCAUUAAAUGAACUACUACUGUUGUCCACAACUAAUGGAAAUGUGAAGCUGCUUUCUUUUCCUCUGGUACCAGCAGAAACUAUGACUGUGGUCUCCAUUCUAACAGACAGAAAGAAUGCAACAGCUGGAUCCAUCCUACAAUAAUGAACACAACAUCUACCAUGACUAAAUCUUCUCUGAAUCAAGCCUACGAUACUAAGGAAAAGCAGAUCUGAGACUUACCCCGUCAGGAUCUCCCGCGCAGAUGCGGUUCCCUUGCCCUUGUCGCCCUGACUGCUACCACACCCGCCUUCAACGCUCCCCCUAAUCGAUGGCGAGCUUUUGUCGCCGUCGAUGAUGCCACCACCGCCGUGGCCAUGCGCGCAGCCAUCGCCCUACCGCGCCGAUGCGAUUCCCUUCUUGUGGCGGUGGCCGCCGCCUAGGGUUUCUCCAUUCUCCCCCAUCGCCUGGAAAUGGAUGUGUUGGUGCUGCAGGUGACGUUCUGGUGGUGGUGCCCCUAGGGUUUCUGGAUCUGGUGUUGAGGCGCCGACGAACUAGGGUUUGGACAGGGAGAGAGAGAGUGACGGGAGGAAUGGGGAACGAAAGAGUGAGGGGGGGAACAAGCGAGUGAGCACGGGGGCAAGCCGUGUCCAAAAUCUAGCGCCGGUAGCGGUCAAACGGCGCUGACUGUACGGAACCGUGACGGGGGGGGCCAAAGCACAAAGAAACCAAAGUGAGUUGGGCAAUAACGAGGGUUUUCAGAAACUAGGGGCAAACUUGCCGAGGGGGACACAACUAAGGGCACCAAAUUAAUUAUCCCAAAAAAUAUUGGGUGAAGAAAGCACCAGAGGGGGGCCACCAGCCAUCCACAAGGGUGGAGGGCGCGCCCUACCCCCCUGGGCGUGUCCCCCUACCUUGUGGGCCCCCUGUCAGGCCUCCGGUGCCCAUCUUCUGCUAUAUGGUGUGUUUUGAAUUGGAAAAAAUAAGAAGGAAGCUUUCGGGAUGAAGCGCCGCCGUCUCGAGGCGAAACUUGGGCAGAACCAAUCUAGGGCUCCGGCGGAGCUGUUCUGCCGGGGAAACUUCCCUCUCGGAGGGGGAAAUCGAAGCCAUCGUCAUCACCAACGAUCCUCUAAUCGAGAGGGGGUCAAUCUCCAUCGACGUCUUCACUAGCACCAUCUCCUAUCAAACCCUAGUUCAUCUCUUGUAUCCGAUCUUUGUCUAAAACCUCAGAUUGGUACAUGUGGGUUGCUAGUAGUAUUGAUUACUCCUUGUAGUUGAUGCUAGUUGGUUUAUUCGGUGGAACAUCAUAUGUUCAGAUCCUUAAUGCUAUUUAAUACCCCUUUGAUUAUGAACAUGAAUAUGCAUUGUGAGUAGUUACGUUUGUUCCUGAGGACAUGGCAGAAGUCUUGUUAUAAGUAAUCAUGUGAAUUUGGUAUUCGUUCGAUAUUUUGAUGAGAUGUAUGUUGUCUUUGCUCUAGUGGUGUUAUGUGAACAUCGACUACAUGACACUUCACCAUUGCUUGGGCCUAGGGGAAGGCAUUGGGAAGUAAUAAGUAGAUGAUGGGUUGCUAGAGUGACAGAAGCUUAAACCCUAGUUUAUGCGUUGCUUCGUAAGGGGCUGAUUUGGAUCCACAUGUUUCAUGCUAUGGUUAGAUUUAUCUUAAUUCUUCUUUCGUAGUUGCGGAUGCUUGCGAGAGGGGUUAAUCAUAAGUGGGAGGCUUGUCCAAGGAAGGGCAGCACCCAAGCACCGGUCCACCCACAUAUCAAAUUAUCAAAGUAACGAACGCAAAUCAUAUGAGCAUGAUGAAAACUAGCUUGACAGUAAUUCCCAUGUGUCCUCGGGAGUGCUUUGCUUUAUAUAAGAGUUCGUCUAGGCUUGUCCUUUGCUGUAAAAAGGAUUGGGCCACCUUGCUGCACCUUAGUUACUUUUUUUACUUGUUACCCGUCGCGAUUUAUCUUAUCACACAACUAUCUGUUACCAAUAAUUCCCGUGCUUGCAGAGAUUACCUUGCUGAAAAACGCUUGUCAUUUCCUUCUGCUCCACGUUGGGUUCGACACUCUUACUUAUCGAAAGGACUACGAUAGAUCCCCUAUACUUGUGGGUCAUCAGUCCUCACUCUGGAACCUUCUAGAACCUUCCUAGUACAAUACCGAAAAAACUCGAACUUUUUCCGGAACCCCGAUAACAACUUUCUGUAUAUGAAUCAUUACCUCCGGACUAUUCUGAAGCUCCUCGUGAUGUCUCGGAUCCCAUCCGAAGCUCCAAACAACCUUCAGACUUUCCACAAUUAAUACCUCAAUACUACCCUAGCGCUACCGAACGUUAAGCGUCGACCCUGCGGGUUCAAGAAUCAUGUAGACAUGACCGAGACUCCUCUUCGGUCAAUAACCAAUAGCGGAACCUAGAUGUCUGAUAACCCACAAGUAUAGGGGAUCGCAACAAUUUCGAGGGUAGAGUAUUCAACCCACUGUUCAAGACAUCUUCCGAUAUGCCGAUAAAUCAGCCGAUUUAUCGCUUACCCGUGUCUUACCAAUAAGAUAAUUCGACCGAUAAGUCAACCGAUAUGGCGAUAAAUCGGCCGAUAUGCCGAUAAAUUGGACGAUCUACCCUUAUCGGGGGUCGACCGAUAAAUUCCCGAUAAGCAAUAUCCUCAACAUUGAUUCAACCCAAAUUUAUUGAUUCGACACAAGGGGAGCCAAAGAAUAUCCUUAAGUAUUAGCAGUUGAGUUGUCAAUUCAACCUUACCUGGCUAACUUAGUAUCUGCAGCAAAGUAUUUAGUAGCAAAGUAGUAUGGAAGUAACGGUAACGGUAGCAAAAGUAAUAUUUUUGGGUUUUGUUGUGAUUGUAACAGUAGCAACGGAAAAGUAAAUAAGCGGAGAACAAUAUGUGAAAAGCUCGUAGGCAUUGGAUCGGUGAUGGAGAAUUAUGCCGGAUGCGGUUCAUCAUGUAACAAUCAUAACAUAGGGUGACACAGAACUAGCUCCAAUUCAUCAAUGUAAUGUAGGCAUGUAUUCCGAAUAUAGUCAUACGUGCUUAUGGAAAAGAACUUGCAUGACAUCUUUUGUCCUACCCUCCCGUGGCAGCGGGGUCCUAACGGAAACUAAGGGAUAUUAAGGCCUCCUUUUAAUAGAGUACCAGCAAAGCAUUAACACAUAGUGAAUACAUCAACUCCUCAAACUAUGGUCAUCACCGGGAGUGGUCCCGAUUAUUGUCACUUCGGGGUUGCCGGAUCAUAACACAUAGUAGGUGACUAUAGACUUGCAAGAUAGGAUCAAGAACUCACAUAUAUUCAUGAAAACAUAAUAGGUUCAGAUCUGAAAUCAUGGCACUCGGGCCCCAGUGACAAGCAUUAAGCAUAGCAAAGUCAUAGCAACAUCAAUCUCAGAACAUAGUGGAUACUAGGGAUUGAACCCUAACAAAACUAACUCGAUUACAUGAUAAAUCUCAUCCAACCCAUCACCGUCCAGCAAGCCUACGAUGGAAUUACUCACGCACAGCGGUGAGCAUCAUGAAAUUGGUGAUGGAGGAUGGUUGAUGAUGACGACAGCGACAGAUUCCCCUCUCCGGAGCCCCGAACGGACUCCAGAUCAGCCCUCCCGAGAGAGUUUAGGGCUUGACGGCGGCUCCGUAUCGUAAAACACGAUGAAUCUUUCUCUCUGAUUUUUUCUCCCCGGACACGAAUAUAUGGAGUUGGAGUUGAGGUCGGUGGAGCUCCAGGGGGCCCACGAGGCAGGGGCGCCCCCCACCCUCGUGGCAAGGGUGUGGGCCCCCUGGCCUUGAUUCUUUCGCCAGUAUUUUUUAUUAUUUCCAAAAAUAAUCUCCGUGGAGUCUCAGGUCAUUCCGAGAACUUUUGUUUCUGCACAUAAAUUAACACCAUGGCAAUUCUGCUGAAAACAGCGUCAGCCCGGGUUAGUUCCAUUCAAAUCAUGCAAGUUAGAGUCCAAAACAAGGGCAAAAGUGUUUGGAAAAGUAGAUACGACGGAGAAGUUUUCAACGAAGCGGCGACAAUAACUGGCUAGACCAAGGAAACUCCUAACUUGUUUAACUGUUUCAGGUGGAGUCCAAUCAAGAACGGCCUGAACUCUCUCAGGAUUGACAGCAAUGCCCUUACCAGAGAUCACGUGGCCUAGGUAGGUCACUUCUGGCAACCAAAAUUCGCACUUGGAGAACUUGGCAUAAAGGCGGUGCUCUCUGAGUUUUUCUAACACAAGUCUAAGAUGUUUGGCAUGCUCUUCCUCGUUCUUUGAGUAAAUAAGGAUAUCAUCGAGGUAAACCACGAUGAACUUAUCUAAGUACUCCAUGAAGAUCGAGUUCAUCAAGCGGGAGAAUGUGGCUGGAGCAUUGGUUAGACCGAAAGACAUGACGGUGUACUCGUACUGGCCAUAACGAGUGACAAAAGCCGUCUUAGGAAUGUCGCCAUUUCUAAUCUUGAUUUGAUGGUAGCCUAACCUCAAAUCCAUCUUGGAAAAGACUGAGGAUCCCGCGAGCUGAUCAUACAGGUCGUUGAUCCUGGGGAGCGGAUACUUGUUCUUUAUCAUGACCAAAUUAACAGCACGAUAAUCUACAACCAUCCGGUCCGUACCAUCCUUCUUCUUGACGAAGAGGACGGGGCAAGCCCAGGGAGAAGAACUAGGACGGAUAAAACCCUUUUGCAAGGACUCAUCAAGUUGUUUCUUAAGCUCAGCUAGUUCUAAAGGUGCCAUCUUGUAAGGUCUCCUAGAGAUUGGGGCGGUUCCUGGGAUAAGAUCUAUGACAAACUCUACAUCUCUGUCAGGUGGAAUACCUGGCAGUUCCUCUGGAAAGACAUCCGGAAAGUCACGGACUACCGGGAUAUCUUCAAGGUCUGGAAGAGGACUGGCAUUAAGAGAAUAGAGUUGACGCUUUGCAACUCUGGUGGAGACAGUGACUAACUUGCCAGAUGGGUGUGUGAGUUGAACAGACCUGGUGUAACAAUCAAUCUUGGCAUGAUGAGCUGUCAUCCAGUCCAUACCCAAGAUGAUGUUAAUAUCUGUAGACUUGAGGGCUAUAAGUGAGGCAAGGAAUACAAGUCUGUCAACAAGGAUUUCAUUACCAUGGCUUAUUCUGGUAGUUUGCCAUCUAGACCCUGGAGUUUGGAUUUCAAGUGGAGUUGGCAUAUCACAAAAUGACAUGUCGUGCAAACGAGCAUAGCCUUCAGAGAUGAAGGAGUGAGAUGCUCCAGUAUCGAAUAGAACCGAAGCUGGAUGGCAAUUGACAAGGAGUGUACCAAGAACGACAUCCGGAUCAUCAUGAGCGUCUUUAGCUGAGAUGUGAUGCACACGUCCAUGUUCAGUGGGAGCUGACUUGACACUGAUCAUCUUGCGUGAUGGCUUACCACAGCCAACAGACUUCUCAGGCAGGGGUGGGGCAUAGUUAGUUUGAGAGCAGUCACGUGCAUAGUGUCCUGGCUUCCCGCAUGUGAAGCAAGUCCCUGAAGUUGGAUGUGGACCCGCAUUGACAAGCGGUCUACCAAUAGGCCUGGGUGGAGCAUACUGCUGAACUGGGUGAGGCGGCACAUAAGAUGGCCUCGGUGCAUAUCCAGGUGGAAGAGCGAAGUUCGGAACCCAAAUCCGGCGCUUAUGAGAAGUAGAACCAGAGGAAGGAACCAAAUCACGGGUGUGCUUACGAGACUCCUCGUAGGUGAGCCGAGCUGUCUCUGCAUUAAUGGCCUUGUUCACAAGAGCCUGGAAUGUGUUGCAAUGGUGCAGGUGGAGAUCACGACGCAACUUGGGGUUGACACCCUUCCGGAACCUAGCCUGCUUCUUAGCGUCCGUGGACACUUCUUCUGUAGCAUAGCGGGCGAGGUUCUCAAACUCUCUACUGUAAGCAUCAACAGCCAUCUUACCCUGGGUAAAACUACAGAACUCUUCUCUCUUGCGGUCAAUGAGAGCCUGAGGAAUGUAAUGCCCGCGAAAAGCCUCAGUGAAAUCUCUCCAAGUCGGUAUCUGGCCAGCUGGAAGCAUAGCCUCAUAGUUCUGCCACCAAAGACUAGCAAGACCUUCCAGGUGAUAUGCAGCAUAAGUGACCUUGUCACCUUCAGCUAUGUUCGCAGAAUGCAGCUUGUGUGUGAUACUACGGAGCCAGUCAUCUGCAUCGAGUGGCUCAAUGGAAUGAUGGAAGGUAGGUGGUUUCAGACCAAUGAAAUCAUAGAUGGACGCUGACUCUUUGCACUGGGGUGCGGUGUUCUCCUCGAUACAUUCUAACAAGCGGUUAGACUCAUGCUUGUUCCUCUCCAUCUCUAACAUAAACUCUGCCAACGAAGGCUGGUCGGAAGGAUCCUCCUCAUCCCUACCACCUCCGUGGUUCAGGCAACGAGCAACAGAACUUCGGUUAACUGCAUCCUGAGAAGCGGAACCAAGGACGAGGUCAACAACAACUAUAGGAUGCAACAUGUAGCAUAAGGAAAUUUAGUAUCUCUCAAACUCCUAGGACAAAUCCGGCAGCAUAACGGCAGUAAAAUGCUCAAAGUGAGACAUUCGGCAAAGGACGGGGUAGCACCAUACUCAACAUCAUCACUCAAGGUUCUAAGACAUUACUAAACAGGCUACACCGGAGGUACUCGCACUGGGAUAUGACUCUGAUCAACCAAUCCUAAGAGACUACGGAGUAGUAACACGUGAUCCUGAUAGACAGAAGAGAAAGCCUAGUUCCUUAACCCCGUAGGAAAGAUAGGAUGACUCAGAUCAAAAGGGCAUGAGGUAAAAGAAGUAAAAAGAGCCUUACGUUCCCUUCCACAAUCAAUUCCCUUACAUAACUAAAGAAUUUCUAGACUCAACUUCGACCAGGUUGGCUUGGAAAUCCUACAGGCAGUCAGGCUCUGAUACCAAAGCUGUCGGGACCCCGAUUCUAAGUCACACCGAUCUAGCAUGUAACACCUCAUAUCACUUUGCGGCCUCACGCACGGUAUUCCCACGGGUGUCACCUUACCAUGGCCUGGGACCGUUUGCGCCUUUUGGCUCACGUAUAUGAUAGUGUCGCUAGCAUCCAUAUGACAGAGAACCCGGGCCGACAUGACUAGUCGUGAACCCAAAGUGGCACUAACUUACGGGGAAAGGCAUACAUGAAACAACAUCGAGCAUGUCGGUCAGCAGCGUGUGAAUCCGGGCUGUAGCACUGGGCUAACAGGACUCCGGGAACCCGGGCUGUAGCAGGCUAGGCAGGACUCCGGAUGUCACCGCGUGACAUUUCCCCGAAGGGACAGACACAGGAACGAAGUGAAUCACAUGCCGGCCAGUCUAGGUGUUCCGGAGCAGUAGUGCUGGGCUAGCAGGACUCCGGUAAACCGGGCUGUAGCGGACUACCAUGGCUCGGUGGAAGCACUAGACUACAUUUCCCCAUAAGAGAGGCUACCAAGGAUAGACAACUAGGUUGUCGGAUCCCACACAUAGCAAUACACGUUACACGUACGCAUAACAUGCAAGUAUGUGUUGUACAACAUGGCAUCACAACAUAACGCAAACUCAUAUAGAUAAAAGGCCCAGAAGAGCCACAUAGCAUCAAGUACAAACAGGGGUCACAUGACCCAUCAUUCAGAGCAUACAAGCAACGGAAGCAUUACAUGUCUGAGUACAGACAACUACAAAAGAAAAGGGCGAGAAGCCUGACUAUCUACAAGCCCCUCCUAAGGGUACAAGAUCGUAGCUGAGGUACAAGCUACCCGUCAAAGUCCAAGCGGAACUACUAGUAAGACCGAAGUCUCCGCUGCAAAAACAUAAAUAAAGCAACAUGAGUACAAAGGUACUCAGCAAGACUUACAUCAGAUCCUAUCAUACAUGCAUUUGUAUCAAGAAGGUAGUGUGGGGUUUAGUUGCAGCAAGCCAGCUUUGACUCAGUGGCUAUCCUGUUCUACGACUACGAGAAACUUCUUUGAGGUAAGAAGGCGCACACGAGUCCACUAAUCACCACCUCAAUACACCACUAUGGAUUCAUUCCCGUCUCACUACGAGAAGCCAUCCAUAGCACUCACACUUAUCUUGAGCAUUUUAGAGUAUCCACUUCAAGUUGUCUAUGUACCACGUAAGCAUCCAAGAAGUCCAUAACCGAGGACACGGCUAUUCGAAUAGAUCAUGAUAACCCUGCAGGGGUGUACUGCGUCACACACGCUCUCGCCACUUACCGCCAUGUACACGUCAUGUACCUCGGCAACCUUCAAGCGGAAGCCUGGCGAGGGUGUCGGCCACGACCUGACUAACCACACAAGACUCUAGUCCAGGUUUAUCGCCUAUUCGGGUUCCAUCCGCAAGGAGAUCCGGCCGAGGUUUCGCUCACGGCCCCAAACGAUGUGUGCAGGGUUCCCGAGCCCACCAUCCGGGUGCCACUCGGUACACCAGGCCACGUGUGCCUAGUCUGUCCCAAGCCCACCCUGCCGGGUGCCACUCGGUAGAAAAAUAGCACUACCUACAAACACCAGAAACUAGUUGCAACUCCUGGACAGAGAUCAAGUUGGUUAAUAAGUCGAGAGGGGCACUUAAGCAUUCCUAUGUGUGGUAGUAGCUAGUCAUUGGACAACAUACACAGAACUCAGUGCUUAAGGACGGUUCCAGUGAGACAACCCACCAUGUACUCCUACAUGGCCUCUCACCGCUACCUUUACCAAAUCGUGUUCACACACUUAACUCUCAGCACCAGAACAUAUCGUAACACUCCAAUUCAUUCCCAAUGAACCAGACCUGACACAACUCUAAGCAAUAGCAGGCAAGGCAUGGUAGGAACACAACAUGGCUCAAACAACUCCUACACAUGCUAGUGGGUUUCAACUAUUUACUAUGGCAAUGAUAGGUCAUGCAGAGGAAUGGGUUCAACUACCGCAGCAUAAAGUAGCAGUUGAAUCGUUGUUGUCCUAAUGCAGUAAAAGAGAGCAGGAGCGAGAGAGUAGGAUUGUAUCGGAAUGAACAAAGGGGGUUUGCUUGCCUGGUAGAUCAACAGGGUGGCACUGCUCCUCAGGCAAGUACUCUGGAACACUCUCCGGAGCAGGACCUAUCGAGAAGGAACGGUGUCGACAAUUAAAACACAAUCAUAUGCAACAAUAUGAUGCAUGAAUAUGGCAUGAAUAUGUGAUGUAUUUUGAGCCAAUGCAUUUAGCAUUCAACUUGGAAGAGAUCCAUUUGAACCAAAGGUUCAAAUGCAACUCUAAUUUAAGUCCUUAUAUAUGCCAUUUAUAUGUUUUCACUUAUACAGUAGGUAUAAGUUGGUUUGUCAUGCAUGAAACUAGUACAGAUGGAUAGAUUGCAUUUUCCUGAUAAUUUUUCAUAUAUAAAUUAUUUAAAUCUGAGCUACGGUUGAAUUUCUAUGAAUUUUAGAAGUUUUGAACAUUUUCUGGAAUUUCCUGAUUUAAUUUAAAUCCAGAAAAAGGGUUUAUUGCGUCAGCACUGCGUCAGCACUGCGUCAGCACUGCGUCAUCAUGACGUCAGCGGGUUAGCGGCGCUGACCAAGUCAAACCUGACGUGUGGGGUCCACACGUCAGUGACACAGGGUUAAACAGGGGGUUAGUUUAUCCUAAUUACAGUGUUAGUGGCGCUGGGGCCCACUGGUCAGUGUCAGGGGUUAGGUUAGGUGGUGAUUAGCAUUAAGCUAAUCACCUGACAGGCCGGACCCACGUGUCAGGGCUCAGGCGACAGGGCUCGUCGCCGGCGACCACUGGCCACGGCGGAAUCCCCACUAGAAGCCACGGGAGCGGCGCCUGGGGGCACCAGGAGGUUGCCCGCGCUCCCGCGCAUCCAGGGGAGCCCGCGAGAGGCUGCGGGGGCGGCGGAGCUCGCUGGAGCGGAGCCCACGGAGGCGGCCGGAGCUCGGGCUCGAGCGGCUACGGGGCUACGGAGCACGAGGAAGCGAGCGGAGAGGCUCUACAGCCUCCUGGCGUCACCAGGAGCACGGUGACGCGUGCGGUUGCGGGCUGCAGUGGCUUGAGCCACGACGGCGACAUGGACGGCGGCGAGGAGCUACGGCCAUGGAGGAAACGGCGGCUACGACGCGGGAACGAUGGGGAGAAGAGGGGGGAAAUGGGGAGGUGCUCACGGCGAUCACGCGGAGCAGCACAGCGGGCUCGGGGGAGACCUGGUGAUGGCGAAUCGACGGCGGCAGACGGCGGAGCCCGAGGAGGAAGACGAUGGCGAUGGCGGCGCUCCAGGGCCUCCCAAGGCGUGUGGCUCGACGGAGAGGUAGCCCGCGACGUGGCGGAGCUUCUGGGCGUGCCGGAGAGUCGAGGGGGUGGCGGUGGCUACGGCAAUGGUGGCCGGUGGCGACGGCAGUGCUCGGCCGUGGGAGAGAGAGCGAGGGGGAAGAGAGAAUGGGCACGGGAGAGAGCGAGAGAGGUGCAGGGCGGCGCGUGGCGUCGUUCGGGCGAUCCAGGCGACGAGAGGGGGAAGCAGGAGGUGGCGCGCAUGCGCGCGGGCGGCGAGUGCGUGCCCCUGUCCUCCUGGCGCGAGGAAGGGGACGACUGGCACGGCCAGCUGGCUGGGCCGGCCUGCUGGGCCGCUGGGCCAGGCCAGGUAAGUUUCUCCCUUUUUCUAGUUUGUUUCUGUUUUCUAAUUUUCUGACAUUUGUUUGAUUUAGUAGAAAUACUAAACCAUUUUAUUUACUUCUGUCAAUUUUUGUAGGAACUAGUUGGAUUGCUCCAAAACUCCUCACCAAUUAACAGAAUUUUUGGACAUAUAUUAUAUAUAUAGCAAAUAUAUAUUCAAAGCAAAUAAUUAUGCAUUAAUUCCAAAUGGCCAAAAUAAAUACUUAUGAGCUCCUAAAAAUAUUGGUUUGAUUUUUAUCUCUGUCCAAUAUUUUCAAAGAGCAACAUGAACAUUUUCUUGGACCCUUUUGGAGCAAUUUUUAUCUGGGUCAUUUCCAGAAAUGAUUCUGAGGGUUUCACAGAUCCCCACUUCAAAUUUAAAUGGAAUUUAAACAUGAUGCACACAAGAAGGCUAGCCUAGGUCAUACCAGAACUAGGGACGUGACAUCCCGAGAGAGUUUAGGGCUUGGCGGCGGCUCCAUAUCGUAAAACGCGAUGAAUCUUUCUCUCUGAUUUUUUUCUCCCCGGACACGAAUAUAUGGAGUUGGAGUUGAGUUCGGUGGAGCUCCAGGGGGCCCAUGAGGCAGGGGGCGCGCCCAGGGGGCAGGCGCGCCCCCACCCUCGUGGCAAGGGUGUGGGCCCCUGGCCUUGAUUCUUUCGCCAGUAUUUUUUAUUAUUUCCAAAAAUAAUCUCCGUGGAGUCUUAGGUCAUUCCGAGAACUUUUGUUUCUGCACAUAAAUAACAUGUCACGACCGGUUUUUCAAUAAAAAUAUUUAUUGAGAAAUCGAUCCCUUUUACGGACCAGUAGAGAAGAAUCCUUCCCACUGGUAGACAAUAUCUUGAUCACAGAAGAAAAACCAGGAGUACUAAAUAUAAUACAAGGUUGAGCGGAGAUGGCUCAACAAUUUAUUACAAGCACGCCAAUAAAACAUAAAGGCGGAUAGGCUGGCAUAACUACUGACUCACAAUAAAAGCGGUGGUGGGUAUGCCACAGUGAACUGGGUGACAUGACUCCUGAAUCUAACAGCUCUUCGAGCGUCGGAGUGAGUCUCGAGGAUUCUUAUUGAGGGUGGCGGAAGCGUAUAUAAUACAAGUGACCAAUAUCCAGGAUCGCACGGGACUGACUGGGACUCCUCUAGGCGUCGGACUCACUAUCAAACUCUUCAUCCAUGAGAUCGCCUUCGUCAACAUCUGGCCAAAUCAACAAGCCAGGUGAGUACUAUGAAAGUACUCGCAAGACUGUAUGGACAUGAGAUAUAACAAAUGUAAACAUGAUGCAUAUGAACAGAUUAAUAGAGCGCCCUCAGACAAUAGAAGAUAGCUAUGCAUGGGAAAUAAAAAGGAAGUCGGGCAGUAGUCCUCCCGAAAUCCCAAAGUAGUGCUGAAGGCCAAUCGAGUGUCUGAAUGACUCCUCGGAAGGGUACAAAUGAAAUAACAAUGCCGCAGUCGGGCGUCAAGGCGACACCACAUAAAGGGCUUAUAAUAGAAUAUAAAUGACAGUGUGUGCCACAGUCGGACGUCUGAGCGACAUCACGUAAAGGGCUUAUAUCAAAAGUAAAUAACGAGCGUGCCACAGUCGGACGUCUAAGCGACAUCACAUAAAGGGCUUAUAUCAAAAGUAAAUAACAAGAAUGCCACAGUCGGACGUCUGCGCGACAUCACAUAAAGGGCUUAUAUCUCAUAACUUGGUAUUUCAGUAGCUCAUGAAUAUAACUCAUUUCAAGGGAAUAUUCAGGUACGAGAUAAAUAACAGGUUAGUCCAUCCAUAGGAAUAACGUUCAACCGGGUUUACCACUCAAGCUUGCUCACCGGGGAUUUACCACGGAGACUGACAUAGGGACUGACAUGGAUGUGGAUAUACUGGCCAUGGUCCUUGACCAUGGACACGAUGACUCGGAAGGAUUUGACUCUGCAGAGUUUGUACUCUUGACCACAGCCAACGGAUUUCAGUAGCCACCGGGGACUAGUUCCGUUUACUGUGUUUUAGGAGAAAGACAUCUAACCAGUACACACCCAUUCAAUAUUCCGAUGCCAGGAAUCACCCUCGGCAACGUUCAAGAAAAACCUUGAGACGGGGAGGCUACAACCUCGCGUAGCAUGGGAUCAAAUUUAUACCGCGCGCUCUAAGGGGUGCCCCCCUCUCGUUCCCAACCGGAAACACCCAUGCCCCCUGACCGAAUGACUGGCUUUAAUCCAGGGCCAUGGAACCCUCAUCCCGGCCCCUCUAUUUGGUGUGUACAAGGAAAGAGGUUAACAACUUACUAAACCGUAUUCUUUGCAGAAAACAUGUGGCAGCACGAAAGAGGAAGAACGGUAACGUGGCUUAGUCCAUGCUAACGUCGGAGUUUAUCGGAUGACGUAAGACUGGUAUGCUACAGCAAUACCAUCUUACAACCUUUCAUGUCACCACAUGAUCAGGUCAUCUCUCAUCAAAGGUCACAGUAACUUCGAAACACACGGAUAGUUGCCUUGCAUGCAACGUAAUACUCACCGAUGCUCGUAUGCCAUGUACAACCAUUCAAGCAUACAUGCAAAACACCUAUCAUAUCAAAGGUUCAAACAUGCUUGCCUGGUUCGGAGAAGUCGGAGUCUAGCUCGGCGGAGUUCGCGGCUCCGUCACCUCCUCCGGAACCUACGGUAUAACGAAACCGUAUACUAACGUGAAAAUCGUUGCGUGCAUAAAAAUUGUUCCAAAAUUUUCCAAAUAAAUACUAUAAAAACUAGACAAAAAUAUAAGACUGAUAGAAAAAGAAUCAAUCAAAAAUCAUCUUUUAUUAAAAAGAUAUAAGGGUUUUAGUCCAGGGACUAAUCUGUGAUGAAACAGAAAAGAACCAGGGACUUGUUUGAGAAAACAGAAAACGGUUCGGAAUGAAAUGCGCCAGCCCAAAGGGAAAACGCAUUUUGCCCGAAGGCGCUUUCAGAAAACGGUUCGAGGGAGAGAAAGAAGAGAGGCUGACGGGGGGGUCCCACCCGUCAGGUUUAAAACUCCAACGGAGCUCGCCGGCGCCCGAAGGCUGCGGUGGUCGCCGGCGUUGAACCACGGUGAGGCAGAGAGAUCGGAGGGUACCAGUAGGUUCAGGUGGUUCUUCCGCGUCGGUGGGUGGUGGACUUGGCCGUCGGAGAGCACCACGUCGACGGCGACACUUUCUCCGGCGGACGGUGGUUCGGGCGAUGGUGGAGUACUCCGGUGGGUGCUGCAAACUCCAAAUUGAUGCGCGGGUCAGAAGAGUGGAAGCAUUAGAAGACUACUGGCAAGAGUUGAGGGGUAGGGGUGCACGCACGAGGGUGAAUCGAGCUGGGUCCCGAAGCGGGUCGAGGCGGCCGGAGUUGGGGAAGAAGACUCCCACGGGGGCUGCUCAGUGGCUUGGCGUGGUACUGGUGGUGUGUAGAGGUGGUGCGGGUUCGAGUUCGAGCUCGGGGCCUCCUUUUAUAGGCGAUCCGACGGGGUGGCCGUGAACGGGAUAGCUCCGGCGAGCAAUUACGGCGAGGCAGAGGUUGGGCAGGGGGUUUAGGUGGCUAGGCAUCAUCAGGCAGGAUCACUGGCACCGUUCCUCCGCUAAACCUCGGUCGGGCUUGGUGUAACACGCCGGUCCCCGACGGAACGGCCGUACGGGCACGGCGGCGGCAGGGAGCGCGCUCCGCGCCUAGCAGUUCACGACGACGGACGGCAGCGUGCACGAGUGAGUGGAUGGCCACACGGUGGCCUCUGGUGGCUUGGGCGGCGCUGGACGGCGCCGUCCAACGCUGCGCCUCUCUGGCAGCCGCAAAGGCCGCUGCUGCCGUCGCUCACGGGGUGGCGCACCUCCUCCUGCUCAUCGCCGACGCCCGCAAGCCUCCAGGCGAUCGUGCGGUGCAGGGAUAAGAAGGAAGCACAGGGCGCACGGCGCCACCGCGGCCACUGACGAGAUCGAGAAGGGGCUCUGAAGAAAACGACAGUAGUCUCUGAAACUGUUAACUGAACUAUCUGAACUUGACAGAAGCAGUGCCAUUCAGGUGUUCGACGAAAUGAUUUGGCAUGAAGAAAUUUUUUUCUGGAGCUGGGACUUGGUGAGGUGACCUCUCAAUGCAUCCAGAGGCUGCCUGAAUUUUCUCAGAUAUUUAGGAGGAGAAAGCAAAUGAAUUUCAUCAAAUUUGGCAAAUAUGGUCCAAACUUGCGGCAAGCUCAAUUUGAAAUAUUUGAACUGGAGACCAGUGGAUUUUCAUGGAUCUUGGUUGAGGGCUCUAAGGACUAGCCAGGGAAAAUUGUUUGGAGGCCAAACUCAAAGUAGAAAUGGUAGUCCCUUUGUAAAUCUCCAAGGAUCAAAAUAGAAGGCAGAAAAUAUUUUUGAUAGGAAUUAAAUGGAAGAAAAUUCAUGGGGAGGUUCAACUUGCUGGAUUUGAAAUAUAUCUUGACUCAAAGGGGGGGAAUGGCUUCUGGGAGGGGAUUUCCACUUAGGUCAUGGCAAGAGGAGAUUUUGAAAGGGGAGAAGAUCACUCCAAAAGCCAUAGGGCUAUUUUAAAAGAAAAGAUUUUCAAGAGCUUUUCCAAAUGAAAAACAUUUGUGAUGAGCCAACAUGAGAUGGAAAAACCUCCAAGACCAAAGAUCAAGUUUUGGAUGGAACCAAAUAAAAUACUUGUCAUAGAAGAAAAAAAUUGAGAGGGAGAGUUCUUUAGAAGAAAAAAGUUUUAAAAUAACCUCCCUCAAAACAAAUAAAAGAUUUUGAAAAAAGACCCAAAAAAAAUUUGGGUGUCACAACACCUACCCCCUUAGAAAAAAUCCCGUCCCCGAGAUUUCAGUUGAUCCUCAAAUAGCUGUGGGUACUCUGCCUGAGGAAAAUCUUCCCUUUCCCAUGUAGCUUCAUCCUCGGUGUGAUUGCUCCACUGGACCUUGAAAAAUUUAGUUGUUUUCUGACGGGUCCUCGUUUCAGACUCCUCCAAUAUCUUUACUGGCCGCUCUCUGUAGGUGAGGUCUGGUUGCACAUCAAUGCCCUCAUGAGAUACAUGCUUUACCGGGUUACUUACACAUUUCCUCAAUUGUGAGACGCGGAACACGUCGUGGACGUCUGACAGCUCUUUGGGUAGGUCUAGCUGGUAGGCUACUGCGCCUCUUCGUGCAAUUACACAGAAGGGUCCAAUAAAUCUUGGGGCUAGCUUCCCCUUAAUUUUGAACCGUUGCAGGCCCCUCAUAGGAGACACUCGGAGGUAUACGUAAUCACCGGGUUCAAAGCUGACCUCAUGAUGUUUUCGAUCGUAGUAGCUCUUUUGUCGGCUUUGAGUUGUCUUGAGUCUGUCCCUGAUCUGUUUAACUUUCUCCUCGGCUUCCUUGAGCAUGUCUGGGCCGAAGAUACGACUGUCACCUGUCUCUGACCAAUUUAGUGGGGUACGACACCUCCGUCCGUACAAUGCUUCAAAAGGUGCCAUUUGUAAGCUGGCCUGGUAACUGUUGUUGUAAGCAAACUCGGCAUAUGGCAAACUUUCUUCCCAACUGGAUCCAUAGGUGAGCACACAAGCUCUCAGCAUGUCCUCUAGGAUUUGGUUCACGCAUUCCGUUUGUCCAUCAGUCUGAGGGUGGUACGCUGUACUGAAUGCUAGUUGAGUGCCCAGAGCUUGUUGUAAGUGAUCCCAGAAUUUAGAGACAAAUUGAGUGCCUCGGUCGGAUAUUAUAGUCUUUGGGACUCCAUGCAGACAAACUAUACGGGAGAGAUUAAGCUUAGCAAGCCUUUGAGUGGAGUAGGUCGUCUUCACGGGGAUGAAAUGUGCUACCUUGGUUAGCCUAUCUGUGAUGACCCAUAUGGCAUCAUUUCUGCGUUGCAAUCGAGGUAGUCCGACGAUGAAGUCCAUUCCAAUUUCAUCCCAUUUCCACUCAGGUAUCAUGUUUGGCUGUAGUAGCCCUGCUGGCUUUUGAUGCUCGGCUUUUAUGCGCUGACAUGAAUCGCAACAAGUGAUGAAUGCGGCUAUAUCCCUUUUCAUACCGUGCCACCAAAAUCUUUCCUGAAUGUCUUUGUACAUUUUGGUUCCUCCAGGGUGGAUUGAAUAUGGAGCAGUGUGGCUUUCGGUUAGGAUUUGCUGUUUGAGUUCCUCAAUGUUUGGUACGCAAAGUCUGUCCCCGUACCAUAAUAUUCCCUCAUUGUCUGUGACGAACUCUGAAGCCUUGCCAAGGCUCAUUUUUCUCUUUAUACCUUCGAUGCUGGGAUGUCCAUGCUGAGCCUUCUUAAUUUGUUCCAUUAGGGUGGGGUGUAUCUCCAGAUUUGAUAUGUUGCCCUCAGAGACUAACACCAUGUUGAGUCUAGCGAACUCCUGCUGAAACUCAGGCCUCAAGUUCGGUGGACUGUCGUUGCCCGGGCUGGGGUUCUGACUAAGAGCAUCUGGCACUACAUUUGCUUUCCCUGGAUGGUAGUGAAUGUCGACAUCAUAGUCCUUGACCAAUUCCAACCAGCGUCGUUGUCGUAAAUUUAGCUCUGGUUGUGUGAAAAUAUAUUUAAGGCUCUUGUGGUCCGUAUAUAUUUCACAGCGAUUUCCCAACAGAAAGUGCCUCCACUCUUUGAGCGCAUGGAUGACCGCUGCUAGCUCCAAGUCAUGAGUAGGAUAAUUUUCCUCAUGCUUCCGUAAUUGCCGGGAAGCAUAUGCGACAACUUUGCCGUCCUGCAUCAAUACGCAUCCGAGGCCCUUUCGGGACGCGUCACAAUACACUUCAAAACUCUUGUGUAUAUCCGGCACAACCAAAACCGGUGCUGUUGUUAGUUUCUUCUUGAGCUCUUGGAAGCUUUUCUCGCAUGCUUCCGUCCAUACAAAUUUCUUGUCUUUCUUGAGCAACUGGGUCAUUGGUUUUGCCACAGUGGAGAAUCCUUCAAUAAAUCUUCGGUAAUAUCCAGCCAUUCCUAGGAAACUCUGUACAUCUGUUACGUUGGCUGGUGGUUUCCAGUCAAGUAUGGCUUUGACCUUUUCUGGGUCUACGGCCACGCCUUCUUGGGUCAAUAUAUGGCCCAGAAAACCAACUUGUCUUAGCCAAAAUUCGCAUUUGCUAAAUUUGGCAUACAAUUGAUGUUUCCUUAAUUCUCCCAAUACAAUUUUGAGAUGCUCAGCAUGCUCUUCGGGUGUCCUUGCGUACACCAGAAUAUCGUCAAUGAACACCACUACAAAUUUGUCCAUGAAUUUCAUAAACACUUUGUUCAUGAGGUGGACAAAAUAUGCGGGGGCGUUCGUCAGUCCAAAUGGCAUUACUGUGAACUCAUAUAAUCCGUAUCUGGAGGUGAAUGCUGUCUUAGGGAUAUCUUCUGUCCGUACUUUUAAUUGAUGAUAUCCCGAUCUUAAAUCAAUUUUUGAGAACACCUUGGCUUGGGCGAGCUGGUCAAACAAAUCAUUUACCCGUGGCAUCGGAUAUUUGUUUUUGAUGGUGACCAUGUUGAAGGCUCGAUAGUCUAUACACAAUCUCAGUGUCCCAUCCUUUUUCUUGGCGAACAAUACUGGCGAACCCCAAGGUGAGGAGCUGGCUCGAAUAAAUCCUUUGUCCAGUAAUUCCUUGAUUUGCUUCUUCAAUUCUACCAACUCUGAGGGUGACAUUCUAUAAGGUUUCUUAUAGAUGGGGGUGGUGCCCGGUGCUAGUUCAAUGCUGAACUCUAUCUCUCGGUCUAGUGGCAUGCCUGGUAGUUCUUCAGGAAACACGUCGGGAAACUCGCACACCACUGGAACUUUUCUCAGUUCUGAAAUGUCCACUUUGUUCAACUUUGGCUGCCGUGACCGUGGUCUCUCUCGAGCUGUAACCUUUAUUGUCUUGCCGUGAUGAUGAGUGAGAAUCACAGUCCGAUUGAAACAAUUAAUAAAUCCCUUGUUGGUGGUCAACCAGUCCAUCCCUAGGAUAACAUCCAGUCCUUUAUUUUCCAACACGAUGAGAUUAGCUUGAAACUUUAGUCCUUCGAAUUCAAUAAUCACUCCUUGGCAGUAACUCUGAGUGAUCUGCUUAUUCCCGGGGGACUUGAUAAUCAUAGAUUUUUCCAAAGGAAGAAUCGGAAAACCAUGUUGCAAGACAAAACUCUUCGAAAUGAACGAGUGAGAAGCUCCGGAAUCAAACAAAACCGUGGCAGGUACUGUGUUGACAGGGAACGUACCGAGUACGAUGUCUGGAGCAUUCUGUGCUUCUUCCUUGGUCACAUGGUUCAGGUGACCCUUCCUGUGAUUGUUGUUGGGAUUGAAAUUGUUACGCUUGGGGGCUGGAUUGUUCCCACCAUUGUUCGGCUUGGGGGUCGAGUUCCUUGGUUUUGGGCACUGUUUGGCAUAGUGCCCUUCUUCUCCACAAGCAUAGCAAGUGACCCCUGGGCGGUACGUGAAGUCCUUGUCCCUGGAAUGAAACUGUCUGGUUGGCCUUAUAGCAGUAGUCAUGGAUUUUCUCGCUUCAUUCCUCUGAACCUCAGUCUUGCUUCGAUUGUUGCGAGCAAGAGUCGUCUUGUCCCUUUUCUGCUUACGGAUAUCCUCCAGACUGCGGCGCUCAUUCUCCAAAGUAAUGGCCUUGUCAACCAGAGUUUUGAAAUCUAGGAAAGUGUGUACGACCAGUUGGCAUCUUAGUGCUGGUGCCAGGCCGUCCAAAAUUUUUUCCAUCCUUUUGUUCUCAGUCAUAUGCUCAUCAUAAGCAUAACGAGAUAGCUGGGUAAACUGACUGUUGUAUUCCGUCACUGUCAUGCCUCUCUGCUUGAGGUCAUCGAACUCCCUCUUCUUGAUUUUUAUGAUGCUCCUGGGGAUGUGUGCCCCACGAAAGCCUUCCUUAAACUCUUCCCAGGUGAUGUUAUGUUCACUGGGAUGCAUGUGUAGGAAGUUCUCCCACCAUGCGGCAGCUGCUCCAGUGAGGUAGUGAGGUGCAUAAAGCACCUUCUCAUGAUCUGAACAUUGAGCAAUAAUCAACUUUCUUUCGACGUCUCGAAGCCAAUCAUCGGCUUCAAGCGGCCUAUCAGUGUGAGCAAACGUUGGAGGGCGUGUCUUCUGUAGUUCAGACAACUUGGAGUGUGGUUGGUAUGGCUCACGGUGGUUCCCCAUAUCGAUGACGUGAUUCAUCAUCUCUUGGUGCUGUUGCUGGCUUUGUUCGAAAAGGCGGCAUACUUGAGAUAAGGCUGCCUCGCUGUCCUGUUGACUAGACUGCCCCUGUGUGAAGUUGUUGCUUGUCUGUGUUCCAUAAACUUCUUCGGGUGGAUUUGGCAUGGAACGAGUCCACGGACGAGACAUUUUCCACUCUGGGGUAUAUUUUGCAAAACUCAUGAGAUGAACUGUGUGGCACAAGGAAAAUUUUGCAAAGGCGAAAUUUUUUUAAAAGACCUCAAGAUUUUCAAGAAAAUAUUUGAUUUCGCACGGAGAAGUAUUGCUCAGCACAAAUCUUACACGAGAUACGCAAAUAUACGAUACAUCACUCAGGAUGUGCGUACACACUCCUGACAUAUUAUUAGGCUAGCACACUGCUCCGGGAUCCUACAUGAUGCGCACAUAACAACCACAAACUUACGUACAUGUACAACAUAUCAUACAUGCAGACACAUCGCGCGGCUACUAGGUGCACUCAGUCGGAGAUGGUGAAGAUGUCCUUCCCCUUGCCUAGGGUAAGACCCAGCGGUGCAGGAGACUCAACCUCCACCUCCUCCCUAAUAGGCUCCAGGCGCGUAGCACUGCGCCGAGGAGAUGGCGCGGGUGCGACAGGCGGUAGUGUGGGUGCGGCAGGCGGUGCAGCUCUGACUGGAGUAGGAGCAAUGACCUGGUCGAACUCCUCAGUGGUAGGCAGACGGCGGGCGGUGGCCAAAAUGGCAGGUGAAUAGGAUGCUGAGGAUGAGACGAACGUCAGUGGCGGAGCCAUCUGGAGAAGCUCCCUCCUGUUGGCCGAAUAUCCCCGAACUAAGUCCAUACGGGCAGCCACAAGACCGUCCACGAGGUCGUCGAAAGCUGCCUCCAGAACUUUGAGAUACUCAACAAGCAUCUCGAUAGCUUCAUCUCGCUCUCCCCUAUGGCAGGCGAAUGCAUAGUGACACGUAUAUGGCACAUGGCAUGGGAGGUAGCGGUAGCGACGAGUCUUCAUCGAAGGAAGAAUGUCCCGAAGGCGAGCUAUCGCCUCACGGGCAGCCAUCUGCAUGGCAUGCCUCUCCGUAGGCAUGGCCCUUCCCACAAAACGGAAGUGGCGAGACGCAGAACGUCCUCCCUUGAAUUGCACCACGGCCUGGUGCAUAGACACGUCGUCGCUGAGCUUGUGCUGGUAAAGUGUGAACUCCGGACGAGUCGCCGGCCCGAUCGCGAGCUUGGUGAUGGAGACGAGGAGUUUGACAAACCCCUCGGGCACAUUGGUGAACACCUGGGACUCGCAGUCGUUGCCAGCCAUCUACAAAAGUAGGCAAAAAUUCUGAGUAGUCAAAUCAUAAAUUUAUGAUGACCAACAGAAAAUAGCUAUAUUUGCAAAAUGCUGAAAAAGCACUAAGACGCUAAUAACCGAUUAGCGAUCGCACCUAGUGGCUUCCUACAGUCAGCCUGGCUCUGAUACCAAGCUUGUCACGACCGGUUUUUCAAUAAAAAUAUUUAUUGAGAAAUCCAUCCCUUUUACGGACCAGUAGAGAAGAAUCCUUCCCACUGGUAGACAAUAUCUUGAUCACAGAAGAAAAACCGGGAGUACUAAAUAUAAUACAAGGUUGAGCGGAGACGGCUCAACAAUUUAUUACAAGCACGCCAAUAAAACAUAAAGGCGGAUAGGGUGGCAUAACUACUGACUCACAAUAAAAGCGGUGGUGGGUAUGCCACAGUGAAGUGGGUGACAUGACUCCUGAAUCUAACAGCUCUUCGAGCGUCGGAGUGAGGCUCGAGGAUUCUUAUUGAGGGUGGCGGAAGCGUAUAUAAUACAAGUGACCAAUAUCCAGGAUCGCACGGGACUGACUGCGACUCCUCUAGGCGUCGGACUCACUAUCAAACUCUUCAUCCAUGAGAUCGCCUUCGUCAACAUCUGGCCAAAUCAACAAGCCAGGUGAGUACUAUGAAAGUACUCGCAAGACUGUAUGGACAUGAGAUAUAACAAAUGUAAACAUGAUGCAUAUGAACAGAUUAAUAGAGCGCGCUCAGACAAUAAAAGAUAGCUAUGCAUGGGAAAUAAAAAGGAAGUCGGGCGGUAGUCCUCCCGAAAUCCCAAAGUAAUGCUGAAGGCCAAUCGAGUGUCUGAAUGACUCCUCGGAAGGGUACAAAUGAAAUAACAAUGCCGCAGUCGGGCGUCAAGGCGACACCACAUAAAGGGCUUAUAAUAGAAUAUAAAUGAUAGUGUGUGCCACAGUCGGACGUCUGAGCGACAUCACGUAAAGGGCUUAUAUCAAAAGUAAAUAACGAGCGUGCCACAGUCGGACGUCUAAGCGACAUCACAUAAAGGGCUUAUAUCAAAAGUAAAUAACAAGAAUGCCACAGUCGGACGUCUGCGCGACAUCACAUAAAGGGCUUAUAUCUCAUAACUUGGUAUUUCAGUAGCUCAUGAAUAUAACUCAUUUCAAGGGAAUAUUCAGGUACGAGAUAAAUAACAGGUUAGUCCAUCCAUAGGAAUAACGUUCAACCAGGUUUACCACUCAAGCUUGCUCACCGGGGAUUUACCACGGAGACUGACAUAGGGACUGACAUGGAUGUGGAUAUACUGGCCAUGGUCCUUGACCAUGGACACGAUGACUCGGAAGGAUUUGACUCUGCAGAGUUUGUACUCUUAACCACGGCCAACGGAUUUCAAUAGCCACCGGGGACUAGUUCCGUUUACGGUGUUUUAGGAGAAACACAUCUAACCAGUACACACCCAUUCAACAUUCCGAUGCCAGGAAUCACCCUCGGCAACGUUCAAGAAAAACCUUGAGACGGGGAGGCUACAACCUCGCGUAGCAUGGGAUCAAAUUUAUACCGCGCGCUCUAAGGGGUGCCCCCCUCUCGGUCCCAACCGGAAACACCCAUGCCCCCUGACCGGAUGACUGGCUUUAAUCCAGGGCCAUGGAACCCUCAUCCCGGCCCCUCUAUUUGGUGUGUACAAGGAAAGAGGUUAACAACUUACUAAACUGUAUUCUUUGCAGAAAACAUGUGGCAGCACGAAAGGGGAAGAACGGUAACGUGGCUCAGUCCACGCUAACGUCGGACUUUAUCGGAUGAUGUAAGACUGGUAUGCUACAACAAUACCAUCUUACUACCUUUCAUGUCACCACAUGAUCAGGUCAUCUCUCAUCAAAGGUCACAGUAACUUCGAAACACACGGAUAGUUGCCUUGCAUGCAACGUAAUACUCACCGAUGCUCGUAUGCCAUGUACAACCAUUCAAGCAAACAUGCAAAACACCUAUCAUAUCAAAGGUUCAAACAUGCUUGCCUGGUUCGGAGAAGUCGGAGUCUAACUCGGCGGAGUUCGCGGCUCCGUCACCUCCUCCGGAACAUACGGUAUAACGAAACCGUAUACUAACGUGAAAAUCGUUGCGUGCAUAAAAAUUGUUCCAAAAAUUUUCCAAGUAAAUACUAUAAAAAACUAGACAAAAAUAUAAGACUCGUAGAAAAAGAAUCAAUCAAAAAUCAUCUUUUAUUAAAAAGAUAUAAGGGUUUUAGUCCAGGGACUAAUCUGUGAUGAAACAGAAAAGAACCAGGGACUUGUUUGAGAAAACAGAAAACGGUUCGGAAUGAAAUGCGCCAGCCCAAAGGGAAAACGCAUUUUGCCCGAAGGCGCUUUCAGAAAACGGUUCGAGGGAGAGAAAGAAGAGAGGCUGACGGGGGGGUCCCACCCGUCAGGUUUAAAACUCCAACGGAGCUCGCCGGCGCCCGAAGGCUGCGGUGGUCGCCGGCGUUGAACCACGGCGAGGCAGAGAGAUCGCAGGGUACUAGUAGGUUCAGGUGGUUCUUCCGCAUCGGUGGGUGGUGGACUUGGCCGUCGGAGAGCACCACGUCGACGGCGACACUUUCUCCGGCGGACGGUGGUUCGAGCGAUGGUGGAGUACUCCGGUGGGUGCUGCAAACUCCAAAUUGAUGCGCGGGUCAGAAGAGUGGAAGCAUUAGAAGACUACUGGCAAGAGUUGAGGGGUAGGGGUGCAUGCACGAGGGUGAAUCGAGCUGGGUCCCGAAGCGGGUCGAGGCGGCCGGAGUUGGGGAAGAAGACUCCCACGGGGGCUGCUCAGUGGAUUGGCGUGGUACUGGUGGUGUGUAGAGGUGGUGCAGGUUCGAGUUCGAGCUCGGGGCCUCCUUUUAUAGGCGAUCUGAGGGGGUGGCCGUGAACGGGAUAGCUCCGGCGAGCAAUUACGGUGAGGCAGAGGUUGGGCAGGGGGUUUAGGUGGCUAGGCAUCAUCAGGGAGGAUCACUGGCACCGUUCCUCCGCUAAACCUUGGUCGGUCUUGGUGUAACACGCCGGUCCCCGACGGAACGGCCGUACGGGCACGGCGGCGGCAGGGAGCGCGCUCCGCGCCUAGCAGUUCACGACGACGGACGGCAGCAUGCACGGGUGAGUGGAUGGCCACGCGGUGGCCUCUAGUGGCUUGGGCGGCGCCGUCCAACGCUGCGCCUCUCUGGCAGCCGCAAAGGCCGCUGCUGCCGUCGCUCACGGGGUGGCGCACCUCCUCCUGCUCAUCGCCGACGCCCGCAAGCCUCCAGGCGAUCGUGCGGCGUAGGGAUAAGAAGGAAGCACAGGGCGCACGGCGCCACCGCGGCCACUGACGAGAUCGAGAAGGGGCUCUGAAGAAAACGACAGUAGUCUCUGAAACUGUUAACUGAACUAUCUGAACUUGACAGAAACAGUGCCAUUCAGGUGUUCGACGAAAUGAUUUGGCAUGAAUAAAUUUUUUUCUGGAGCUGGGACUUGGUGAGGUGACCUCUCAAUGCAUCCAGAGGCUGCCUGAAUUUUCUCAGAUAUUUAGGAGGAGAAAGCAAAUGAAUUUCAUCAAAUUUGGCAAAUAUGGUCCAAACUUGCAGCAAGCUCAAUUUGAAAUAUUUGAACUAGAGACCAGUGGAUUUUCAUGGAUCUUGGUUGAGGGCUCUAAGGACUAGCCAGGGAAAAUUGUUUGGAGGCCAAACUCAAAGUAGAAAUGGUACUCCCUUUGUAAAUCUCCAAGGAUCAAAAUAGAAGGCAGAAAAUAUUUUUGAUAGGAAUUAAAUGGAAGAAAAUUCAUGGGGAGGUUCAACUUGCUGGAUUUGAAAUAUAUCUUGACUCGAAGGGGGGGAAUGGCUUUUGGGAGGGGAUUUCCACUUAGGUCAUGGCAAGAGGAGAUUUUGAAAUGGGAGAAGAUCACUCCAAAAGCCAUAGGGCUAUUUUAAAAGAAAAGAUUUUCAAGAGCUUUUCCAAAUGAAAAACAUUUGUGAUGAGCCAACAUGAGAUGGAAAAACCACCAAGACCAAAGAUCAAGUUUUGGAUGGAACCAAAUAAAAUACUUGUCAUAGAAGAAAAAAAUUGAGAGGGAGAGUUCUUUAGAAGAAAAAAAGUUUUAAAAUAACCUCCCUCAAAACAAAUAAAAGAUUUUGAAAAAAGACCAAAAAAAAUUGGGUGUCACAUAACACCAUGUCAAUUCAUCUGAAAACAGCGUCAGUCCGGGUUAGUUCCAUUCAAAUCAUGCAAGUUAGAGUCCAAAACAAGGGCAAAAGUGUUUGGAAAAGUAGACACGACGGAGACGUAUCAACUCCCCCAAGCUUAAACCUUUGCUUGUCCUGAAGCAAUUCAGUUGAUAAACUGAAAGUGAUAAAGAAAAACUUUUACAAACUCUGUUUGCUCUUGGUGUUGUAAAUAUGUAAAGCCAGCAUUCAAGUUUUCAGCAAAGAUUAUGAACUAACCAUAUUCACAAUAACUCUUAGGUCUCGUGUUUACUCAUAUCAAUGGCAUAAUCAACUAGCGAGCAAUAAUAAUAAAUCUCGGAUGACAACACUUUCUCAAAACAAUCAUGAUAUGAUAUAACAAGAUGGUAUCUCGCUAGCCUUUCUGAGACCGCAAAACAUAAAUGCAGAGCACCUUUAAAGAUCAAGGACUGACUAAACAUUGUAAUUCAUGGUAAAAGAGAUCCAGUCAUACCCAAUAUAAAUUAAUAGUAAUGGAUGCAAAUGACAGUGGUGCUCUCCAGCUGGUGAUUUUUAAUAAGAGGGUGAUGACUCAACAUAAAAGUAAAUAGAUAGGCCCUUCGCAGAGGGGAGCAGGGAUUUGUAGAGGUGCCAGAGCUCCGUUUUUUGAAAUAGAGAUAAAUUAUAUUUUGAGCGGCAUACUUUCAUUGUCAACAUAACAACCGAGAGAUCUCGAUAACUUCCAUGCUACUCACAUUAUAGGCGGUUCCCAAACAGAAUGGUAAAGUUUAUACUCCCCCUCCACCAACAAGCAUCAAUCCAUGGCUUGCUCGAAACAAUGAGUGCCUCCAACUAACAACAGUCCCGGGGGAGUUUUGUUUGCAAUUAUUUUGAUUUCAUUUGCAUAAAGCAUGGUACUGGGCAUCCCGGUGACCAGCCAUUUUCUUGUGAGUGAGGAGCGGAGUCCACUCCUCUUGAGAAUAACCCGCCUAACAUGGAAGAUACAGACAGCCCUAGUUGAUACAUGAGCUAUUCGAGCAUACAAAACAGAAUUUCAUUUGAAGGUUUAGAGUUUGGCACAUACAAAUUUACUUGGAACGACAGGUAGAUACCGCAUAUAGGAAGGUAUGGUGGACUCAUAUGAAAUAACUUUGGGGUUUAAGGGACUGGAUGCACAAGCAGUAUUCCCGCUUAGUACAAGUGAAGGCUAGCAAAAGACUGGGAAGCGACCAACUAGAGAGCGACAACAGUCAUGAACAUGCAUUAAAAUUAAUAAACAUUGAGUGCAAGCAUGAGUAGGAUAUAAUCCACCAUGAACAUAAAUAUCAUGAAGGCUAUGUUGAUUUGUUUCAACUACAUGCGUGAACAUGUGCCAAGUCCAGUCACUUGAAUCAUUCAAAGGAGGAUACCACCCUAUUAUACCACAUCACAACCAUUUUAAUAGCAUGUUGUCACGCAAGGUAAACCAUUAUAAACUCCUAGCUAAUUAAGCAUGGCAUAAGCAACUAUAAUCUCUAAUUGUCAUUGCAAACAUGUUUAUUCAUAAUAGGCUGAAUCAGGAACGAUGAACUAAUCAUAUUUACAAAAACAAGAAAGGUCGAGUUCAUACCAGCUUCUCUCAUCUCAAUCAGUCCAUCAUAUAUCGUCAUAAUUGCCUUUCACUUGCACGGCCGAACGAUGUGAAUAAUAAUAAUAGUGCACGUGCAUUGGACUAAGCUGGAAUCUGCAGGCAUUCAAUAAACAGGAGAAGACAAGGCAAUAUGGGCUCUUGGUUAAAUCAACAAUAAUGCAUAAUAGAUCCACUUCAACAUUUUCAUUAUGGUCUUCUCCUAUCGACCCCCAAAGAAAAAGAAAAUAAAUAAAACUAUUUACACGGGAAAGCUCCCGACAAGCAAAAGAAGAACAGGAAAUCUUUUUGGGUUUUCUUUUAAUUAUUACUACUAUGGCAAGAAAGUAAACUAGCUAAAAGCUACAACUAAUUUUUUUAGUUUUCUUUCUUAAGGUUUAUCAAACACACAAAAAGAAAGCAUAAAAAAGGAAAAUAAACUAGGAUGGAUAUUACAAUGAAAGAGUAUGAGCACCGACAUCUAGCAAUGAGUGUGUGAACAUGAAUAUAAUGUCCGUGAGAAAUACGUACUCCCCCAAGCUUAGGCUUUUGGCCUAAGUUGGUCUAUUGCCACGGCUGUUGUUGGGGAUAUUACCACUGGGCGUAAACCGACCAGGAGAGGCUGGGUUAACCCCAUAAGUAGUUCAUCUGUAUCUGAAGUCCAUGAAGACAGAUGGUGACGCUUUAUGGAGGCCCAGGGCCCAAAGCCGGUUUAAGGCCUGUAGACAUAAACCGGCAUUGAUAUGUAAACUUGUGUUGUAAGAUAGAAGUAGCAGAGACCGAGACGGACACGAUUAUGAGCCGGCCUCGGGAUUCUGUAAACCGACGGGCGUCAACCCAUGUAUAUAAGGGGACGACCCGUCGGCGGUUCAAGGACAACAGACAACAACUCGAGAAUCAGGCAAAGCGUAUUCGCUCCCUGGUCAUCGAAACCCCAACAAUUCCAUCACAACUAGACGUAGGCUUUUACCUUCAUCGUAAGGGGCCGAACUAGUAUAAAAACUCUCUUGCGUCCCUUGUCCGCUUUAACCCCUUUAAGUUAACCCGUAGCGAUGGCUCCUUGACUAAGUCCUUUCUCUAGGACAUCUGCCGUGACAAAACCACGAUAGUUGGCGCCAACCGUGGGGCUAUCGCACGAUGGUUUCAAGUUCUUGGAGGGCAACUUCGAAGGACUCAAGGGUUACGCUGUGGGCCGGAUGACCAAGAGUCGUCGCGGCAAGCUCUACAUCGACGAUGCAGGCUGGGGCCCCGAGGCCGGCUCAAUCGAGUACGGGUACCGGGUCCCCUUUGGUGGCUACAUGUUUUCAUUGGCAAGAUCGGCGAACCGGGCCCUGAGCCGAACAUCUGCACCGACCUCGUCGAAACGGCUCAGCGUGCGAGAUCUGCCCGGGUCAAGCCUGUCAUGAAGCGUGCCUUCGUGGGAGUUAUCCAUGGAGGGGAAUCUGAGGAUAGAUCGGAAUCUGGUGGUGAGACCGUCGUUUAUUCCGGCGACGAGUCAUCGACCAGAGAAACCGAGUCGUUAUAUCAGUUACAAGAUGGCCGGAUUGGGGCUGUUCCGAUGGCGACAGUAUUCCGGACCCCUUUGAUCUGCCAAACCGGGUUGCGAUCUUCAUGGCUGGUACGCAACCGGUGCUCCACUCUUGGACCGCAGCGGCGAUGAUUUCCGGAUCGGCAGCGACAAUAGCGGCCGGGGCAGGAGGCCCUGUGCGACCGCCAGCUCAGGUUCUAUCUUAUUUGUUUGACGCAUUGGCAACGCUGAUGGCGGAGGUUAACCCGGCGGAUCAGGAUGCGCACAAUGCGGAAAUCGCGAAAGCAAAAGAUCAGAUCACCCAGGCCAAAGCCGACUUAGCAGCUGAGGAUACCAGGAUAGCCGCGGAGCGGGCUGCUUUGGAUGCACAAGCUUACCGGAUUAUGCUAGAUCAGAGUGCGUCGAACAAAGUCCUGAAAAGGAGGCACCGAUCUCGCCUGCCGCCGGUUUAUGACGCUAGAAAUCUCUUUAACACCCCAGGAGCAGGGACCAGUAAUCCGCCGGUGGUAAACCGGGCGGAGGCACCUGGAGCAGGAGCGCCGGUUCAGCCACGUUUGGUGGAUCCGCCUCGUCAGAACAACAUUGUAGCACCGCAUGUCCCCACGCCACCGGGUCAUUAUUCUAACCCGAUGGACAACAUUGUCGCUGCCGCUUCACGGCUGGCGGCCAUCCCGACCGAAGGCGAUUCUCCGGCGGCGGUCGAGACGCGUCGGGUUAAGGAGCUUCUUCAGACAGCCUUGGUUCAACAGGAGGCUUAUUCAUAUAGUCGCGAUCGGAUUCCACUCCCCGUCCAAGCCGGAGUUACAGCAGGCGUAUGGAUGAACCGGCAGUGUCAAGCAAUGCGAGGAACCGUGAUCCGCCCCAUGGCAAUAACCCGGCGGGUGGUGCUGGUGAUGCUCAGGAGGUGGUGGACCAGGCUUGGGCACGCAGAGAGGCCGAGUUAGCGGCGCAGCGUGAAGCCCGUCAGCUUACUCCGGUUCGUCCAACCACAUCGGUGGAACCAGGAUUUACCUCUAGUUCUUUGGGAGUGUCGUGUCUCGUCCCGGCGUAUUGCAAUGUGCGCCUGCCCAAGGAUUUCAAGGGCCCGCGCAAGGUGCUGAAUUACACCGCCGAUUUAUCCCCUGAAACAUGGGUCGAAAGCUAUGAGAUGGCCAUGGAGAUGCUGGAUGUAGAUGAUGCGGCAUGUGCGAAAUACUUCACCAUGAUGCUAGAAGGGACAGCCCGCACUUGGUUAAAGAGCUUACCGGCUAAUUCUAUCAGGUCAUGGGCCGAGUUGAGAGCCCGGUUUAUUCAGAAUUUCAAGGAUACAUGCAAGCAGCCCAUUUCAAUUGUGGACUUAGCUGCCUGUGUCCAGGAGGAAGGAGAGUCAACAACCCAUUGGGUGCGCCGGGUUUCAGAGAUUAUGCAUUCAUCGGACUGCAUCAACGCUGACACCGCAGUUUUAACAUUGGAAGGCAAUUGCCGGUUUGAACCCCUGAAGUUGAAGUUGGGACGGCUCAAAUGUCAUUGUAAUGACAUGGGAACCCUCAUGGCUGCACUGGUGAAGUAUGCCGACUCUGAUAGUACCAAGGAUCCCGAGUCUGACGAUGAUAAGACAGGGAAGGGAAAAAAGAGCGGCAACGCCAAGGGGCAGCACCACAACCCGGCGGGUCAUGGAAACGGCGGCAAGCGUAAGGCGGACCAUGGUUUAGACUUUGUGGCUAAUACUAAUACACAUGACAAGGGCCAGCGGCGUAAGGGUAAACCGCCCCAGCGCGGUGGAAGGCCAAGUCCUAAUCCGGACUGUUUGUCUUAUCUAUUGAACCAGCCCUGUCCAAAGCAUGGGACGAAGGAGGACCCAUCCACGCACCUCUGGAAAGAUUGUUACAUCAUGCAAGAGUUCAAAAAUUCUGAUUCUUUCCGGUAUGAUCAUGGACCAGGAGGCGGUUCGGGCCCCGGCUCUCAUGGGUCGGGUUAUGGCGGAGGAAAUUCCGGUUCAGGCUUCCACGGUAAUCAGGGUGGACAUAACAAUCAAAGUAAUCAGGGUAACCAAGGUGGCUAUAAUCAUCAGGGCAAUCAGCAGCAGCAGCAGUCGGGUUACCAGAGCAACCCGAAGCAGUUGAAUAGCGGACAGUAUCAUGUCUUCACCACUAGCUUGGACAGGCGCAAUCAGAAGCUUCGUAAAAGGGCGGUGAAUGUCGUUGAACCGGCGGUCCCCCGAUACUUACGCUGGUCUAAACAGCCUAUUGUGUGGAGUCGAGAGGAUCAUCCACCCCGGAUUGAUAAUCCGGGUCAUCUGGCGUUGGUGGUGGCGCCUUAGUGGGAGGCUAUAAGUUCACCAAGGUACUCAUGGACGGAGGGAGUAGUAUCAAUAUCCUUUAUCAUGAAACUUUCCGUCGCAUGGGGUUAACAGAUAAAAAUCUUAAACCGUCCAACACGGUGUUCCAUGGUGUGGUGUCUGGUAAAUCGGCGUAUCCUAUUGGUAAGAUAGCUCUGGAGGUGGCUGUUGGAGAUGAGCAUGACUCAAGAUCAGAAACUUUGACCUUUGAAGUGGUGAAAAUCAAAAGCCUGUAUCAUGCCCUAUUUGGACGGCCAGCUGAUGCUAAGUUUAUGGCACGGCCUUGUUAUGUCUAUCUGCAGCUCAAGAUGCCGGGUCACAAGGGAACUAUAACCAUGCAUGGGAGCCGCAAGAUUGCUCUGUAGUGUGAAGAAGGUGAUGCGGCUUAUGCUAAGUCGGUUUGUGCAACAGAAGAGUUGAAGUUUUACAAGGACAAUGUUGAUCCGGCAGAUAUGACUUCAUUGAAGAAACCAACUACAGAGCAUGAUCCGGCCCUGAAGUUUAAAUCGGCUGAUGAGACUAAGCUUGUUGACUUCGUGCCUGGCGAUUCGUCCAAGCAGUUUAGCAUUAGCGCUAACUUGGAUCCGAAAUAGGAAAGCGCGCUCAUCGAGUUCAUCCGUGAGAAUCGGGACAUCUUUGCAUGGAAGCCUUCUGACAUGCCAGGUGUACCGAGAGAACUCGCUGAGCACACUCUCAAUGUUGAUCCCAAGUAUAAACCGGUCAAGCAGUUUCUCUGUCGGUUCAAUGAAGAAAGACGCAAGGCUAUUGGAGAAGAAGUAGCCAGACUCUUGGCGGCUGGAUUUAUGGUUGAAGUAUUCCAUCCUGAGUGGUUGGCUAAUCCGGUGCUGGUCCUGAAGAAGAAUGGCACUUGGCGUAUGUGUGUGGACUACACAGAUCUCAACAAAGCUUGUCCAGCACAUCCUUUUGCCCUUCCCCGUAUUGAUCAAAUUAUUGAUGCUAUGGCGGGUUGUGAGCGUUUAAGCUUUUUGGAUGCAUAUUCUGGUUAUCAUCAGAUCAAAAUGGCAGUUAAGGACCAGGAGAAGACAGCCUUCAUAACUCCCUUUGGAGCCUUCUGCUAUGUGUCCAUGCCCUUUGGGCUCAAGAGUGCCCAGGCGACUUAUCAACGGUGUGUGCAGAAUUGUCUUCAUAAACAGAUCGGCCGCAAUGUUCACGCCUAUGUGGAUGAUAUUGUGGUAAAAUCAAGAAAGAAGGAGACAUUGAUUGAUGACUUGAAGGAAACCUUUGAUAACCUGCGGGUUUAUAAAAUGAUGCUUAAUCCGGCCAAGUGUAUCUUUGGUGUACCUGCAAGCAAGCUCUUGGGCUUUUUGGUGUCUAACAGGGGCAUUGAAGCUAUCCGGAAAAGAUCAAAGCCAUCACCUCCUUGGCUAAACCGAAGUGUAUCAAUGAUGUUCAACGCCUGGCAGGCCGGAUUGCCGCGUUGAGCCGGUUUGUCAGUCGCCUUGGCGAGAAGGCCAUCCCUUUGUAUCAGAUGCUAAAGAAAACGGAUAACUUCGUCUGGAGUGACGCCGCUAAUGAAGCAUUUGAGGACUUAAAGCGGCAGCUAGCUAAUCCGCUGAUUCUCGCUGCUCCGGUUGACAAAGAACCAUUGUUGCUAUAUGUGGCAGCUAACGCUUGGGCUGUUAGUGUGGCUAUUGUGGUGGAGCGCAAGGAGGCAGGAAAGGAAUAUCCGGUUCAGCGGCCGGUUUACUAUACCAGUGAGGUACUUAUUGAGUCCUAGCAGAGGUACCCGCAUUGGCAAAAAUUGGUGUAUGGGGUUUUCAUGGCAAGCCGGAAGCUUAAGCAGUAUUUCCAAGGUCAUCCCAUCACGGUGGUCAGCUCUGCUCCUUUGGGGGAUAUAAUCCAGAACAAGGAAGCAACUGGCCGGAUUGCUAAGUGGGCUAUCGAGCUCGGGCCUCAUGGGUUGAAAUACAUACCCCGAACGGCGAUCAAAUCUCAGGCACUUGUGGAUUUCAUCAAUGAUUGGACAGAAUUACAAGCGCCAGAGGAGAAGCCGGAUCAUACUUAUUGGACUAUUCAUUUUGAUGGGUCCAGGCAAUUGGAGGGCUCGGGGGCUGGAGUCGUAUUAACUUCCCCACGAGGUGAUAAGUUUUGUUAUGUUCUCCAUUAAUGUUCCCUUGCACUAACAAUGCAGCUGAAUAUGAGGCUUUACUCCAUGGUCUUCGGAUGGCUAAGGAGAUGAACCUAAGCCGAGUUAAGUGCUUCGGUGACUCGGAUCUGGUGGCUCAACAAGUGUCCGGCACUUGGGAUUCCAAGGACCCACUAAUGGCAGCAUAUCGUCGUGAGGUGGAUAUUGUUGCAGGUCACUUUAAAGGUUAUCAGGUGGAUCAUGUGGACCGGCGGAAGAAUGAAGCGGCGGACGCUUUAAGCCGCCUGGGUUCCCAAUGUAAACCGGUUCCACCUAAUGUCUUCCUGGAUGUUUUGCAUAACCCGUCCGUCAAGCUCCCUGGUGAAGAGGAUUUGGCUAUUCCUGAUCCGGAGGCUCAGUUGGUGGUGGCCCUUCAUGUUAUCCCGGAUUGGACGGUUCCAUAUCUGGCGUAUAUGAACCGGGGCGAGUUACCAGAGGAUGAAACUCUGGCCAGGCAGAUAAUCCGUCGGUCCAAGUCCAUGACUAUUAUCAAUGGAGAGUUACAUCAUUGCAGUGUGACAGGGGCGUUUCAACGCUGUGUGUCUCCUGAGGAAGGCCGUGAAUUUUUGCGUGAGAUCCACGAAGGAGAUUGUGGUCACCACGCCGGUUCAAAAUCUUUGGUGGCCAAGGCGUUCCGUCACGGUUUCUAUUGGUUGACAGCUCAUGCUGAUGCCGAGGACUUGGUCAAAAAAUGUGAUGGCUGCCAGAAAUUCUCAAGACGCGCUCAUGUACCGGCUCAAGAAUUGAGGAUGAUUCCAGUCACCUGGCCGUUUGCAACUUGGGGGCUGGAUAUGGUUGGGCCUUUCAAGAGGUCCAAGGACAAGAAGACCCACCUUUUGGUGGCGGUUGAUAAGUUCACGAAGUGGGUGGAGGCAGAGCCAGUUAGUAAGUGUGACGCAGCCACGGCGGUUCAAUUCAUCAAAAAGGUGAUCUUCUGGUUCGGCUUUCCACACAGCAUUAUAAUAGACAAUGGUACCAAUCUGUCAAAAGGUGCCAUGAAGGAGUUCUGUCAAUGUGAGCACAUCUGGCUUGACGUGUCAUCAGUGGCUCACCCACAGUCUAAUGGUCAAGCGGAGAGGGCCAAUCAAGAGAUCUUGAGAGGCAUCAAACCCCGGCUUAUGGUUCCUUUGCAACGGACGCCGGGUUGUUGGGUUGAGGAGUUACCUUCUGCGUUGUGGAGCAUCAAUACCACACCCAACAGAUCGACAGGAUACACACCAUUUUUCAUGGUUUAUGGAGCGGAAGCAGUUCUUCCUAGUGACAUCCGUCAUGACUCGCCUCGUGUAGCGGCAUAUGUUGAAGCUGACAACGAGAAGGCACAACAGGAAGCUCUGGACCUGUUAGAUGAGGAACGUGACAUGGCGGCAGCCCGUUCGGCGAUUUAUCAGCAAGAUCUGCGUCGUUAUCAUAGCCGCCGGGUUAGAACCAGAACCUUUCAAGAAGGUGAUUUGGUGCUUCGGCUCAUCCAGGAUCAGACGGAUAUGCACAAGCUAUCCCCCCCCUUGGGAAGGACCCUUUGUGGUCGGCAAGAAUCUACACAACGGGUCGUACUACCUAAUCGAUGUUCGAGAGCGCAAUGACUCACGUAAAUCAGAGGAGGAGACCAACCGGCCAUGGAAUAUUGCUCAUCUUUGGCCUUACUAUACUUGAGCUAUAGGCUCUGCUUAUGUACAUAUUAUGACAAUGUAUAUAUUAUGAUCAAUAUAAUAAACCGGAACCUCGGCUAAAGCGGGGUAUCUGUGGUUUUUCUUACAUCAUGUGUGGUUACAUGGAGCUUACAAAGCGGCGUCCGGUUUACCCCUUGAUUUAGCUUCUCUAAGCUUUAUAUUGCAUCACUUGGGGGCUUGGUCCUAUCCGAACCAUAGCUACACCUCUUGAUCGGCGCAAUGCCACAGCAUCACUUGGGGGCUUGGUCGUAUCCGAACCAUAGCUACACCUCUUGAUUGGCGCAAUGCCACAACAUCACUUGGGGGCUUGGUCAUAUCCAAACCAUAGCUACACCUCUUGAUCGGCGCAAUGCCACAGCAUCACUUGGGGGCUUGGUCGUACCCGAACCAUAGCUACACCUCUUGAUCGGCGCAAUGCCACAGCAUCACUUGGGUGCUUGGUCGUAUCCGAACCACAGUCACACCUCUUGAUCGGCUCAAAGCCACAUCAAUCCGGGGCCAAAGAGAGUGUUGUAAAACAACAGCUCAAACAUAGGCACCCAUUGAGCACAGCUCACAAUGUUGCUUGGGGAUUCUUUGCUGUCGAAUUUAGGGCCUGGCAGCCCGUGAAAAGCCUCGACUACAACGGUUUUCAUUUGCCUUUUGCUAAGUUUUCUUUGUUUUCAUAAGAUUUGUGAUGUUUUUAAACCGGUGAUUAUCAACCCGGUUAGGCUGUCAACUACAAGUUGUCAGUACACGAUCAAAUUAUAAUCCGGAGACUAUCAGCCCGGUCUGGUUUUGACUCAAAGUCACCAGUAUGGAAUAAGCCGAUGUUGAUCAGAACUCGGAACGGUUUUAUUGUAAACCGGUAUCAUAUAACAGGAGUUACUUAUCCUCGAGAGUAGGGUUAUGGCCCUCACUACAAAGUUGGUCAGCCAACAUCAUGCCUAAAGGUCCCAGGUAUCAUAUAAUUCCAUAUUUGGUUAUCUUUUACAACCUUGGUUAUAAACCGUGGUCAUAUAUAUAUUUGGGUAUCAUGACUCGCCCGGUGGUAAACUGCCAGGGCGCUUUAAGCUUCUUAUCUGCAGGAACAACUUGAAUAAAUAGCUAUGGAUUAUGAACAUCAUAUCUUAAAGCAUGGCGGAUUAACACGCAUCAGUUGCAGAUAAAUAUGCAUGAAGGCAUAACAGACCAAGUGUUUUAACUAUUCUAUUACAAGGCGUUUCAGUGCCCAGAGGAAUAAUUGUUUCUCAAUAAGCAUUGCAGCACGUGGAAGACUAAACCGGCCCCCGGAUUAUGAUUGCUUAUCAGCUUGACCUGACGGCUGCGGAUCAUCUUGCACCGGUUCAUCUUCUUCGUCUCUACCCAGCGGCUGGAAGUCAACAUUUAUCCAGUCGAUCCCAGUUAAAGCUUGGAACACAGCUUCGUCGCUUAUAAGGGUUGACGGUUCAAUAUCAGGGGCAUAAGUGUGCUUACGGAUUGGAGGGAUCAGAUUUUGCGCUUUCGGAAUUGGUGCAACAACCCGUUUGUUCUUGUCAUCAUAACUUGCCUGAUAGUAUGAGAGAUCAGCUUCUUCAGCCAAUUGACAAGCCAGUGGACGUACUUCCCGGUUUAUGGUGCGGAGAUCCUCCUGGCCAAAUUCUGAUCCGUCUUCUUUUAAGCUUGGGAAGCCUUUAGCCACGUCCACCGGAUCAAGAUCAGGCACCCACGCCUUUGCCCGGGUUAGAGCGGUCAGAGCUCCGGCCCUUGCCGCAGCUUUCUUUAGUUCUUCAACCCGGGCAGGCACCAUGGAUAGCCUUUCUAAGGUGUCCUUGAUCAAUGUUGGUGGCGGUUUAUUGUGUGAAGCGGUGCAGAUGAUCCGCUGCGCACCGGUAUACAGCUGCUCUAUCAAAGUAUAGGCCGCUUUCAAUUUCUUCUGUACGUCAGAGCCCAGAUGGCUAAUACGAGUUCCUGCAUCAUGAUAAACGUCAGUAAACCAGCGACACAUGGGAAGAUAUGUUGAAAGUAUAAAGCAAGGAUGCUUACCAAACACAGCAGCGGUCAUCGCAUGUACUUGCCGCUUUACACCAGUCAGCUCAUCUACCACCGGUUUGAGAGCUGCCUCUGUGUCUUCAGCUCUUUUCUGCAAAGCGGAUUUCUCUGUGUUCCAAUCCGUCUGCUCCUUGUUGAAGCUCUCCUUUAGCUUUUCCAUAGCGGCUAAGGCGCUCGUCAGCUCAUCUUUUGCCUUGGAAGCUUCGACCUGUUGGGACUUGAUAUUUUCUUGCAGAUCGGCGAUUUGAGAUUCCUUUUUGCUCAGUUCAGCCUAUAAAGAGACAGAUAUAUAAUGAGUUGACAGUACAUAUUUGAAGUACCAAGCACAUAACAAGUUAUGCCCUUAGUACUUGGGGGCUAAUGCAUAUUUGCUCUUAAUCAGAAAUUUUUACAAGUCCCAAGCACAAUACAAGUAUUAAGCUUGGCACUUGGGGGCUAAUGUGUAUUUGCUCAUAAAAUGCUGAUAUUGGAAUUCUUCUACAAAGUGACGGUUCAUCUUUAUAAAGUUAAACCGGCCCUUGGGGGCUACAUCAGUGAAGUUAAGAUGCAUUGUUGCAAACAUGAAAUUGUUACUAAGUCCCGGUUUAAAUUGGUAUCUUAAACCGUCACUUGGGGGCUACUGGAGUUGAUAAGCUGCAAAUAAAUAUAAGAGAGAAACACUUAUGAAAGUUACCUCAUAUCGCUCCUUCAUCAUAUUUACCAAACCGGCUUCAUAGUCACGGCUGGUGUACAGACGGUUCAGGAAGCCAGAGUGAAGGUCUUGAGCAUUCAGAUGGGCAUAAUUUGACAAAUCGGCGUUCCAUUUGCCCUUGCCAAUUGCAGAGAGCUCAUCUUUGGCAGUAUGCUUUGACAAAGCAACAGGAUUGCCCGGAGCGGUAUGGCCAGUGCCAGUAAUCAUAAUGUCAUCAUCUUUGUCAUCAGCAGCCGUUACUGGGGUUGGCGGUUUGUCAGUAUUCUUAACUGGACUUGCCGGUUUAUUGUCAGUUCGGACAUGGCUGGUUGGCUGGUCAGCAUGGCUUGUGGUGUCAACUUCUGCCUGCUCAGCAACGAAGUCAUGAUCUUGAGGCGGUGGGUCAUUCAGUAUGGCAUCAAUGUUGGUCUCUUCAGGAGCUGGAGUUUUCUCCGGUUCAACAGCCACGUCUUCAUCACCCGGUUUAUUCAACCGAGCUUUCUUGCUGGGUCUGGGCUUGGCGCUGAGAAAAAUAAACAUAAGGAUCAGUACAAUAUAUCAAAAUAGCAACAUCAAGGAUAACAACAAGUGUAUAGCUCACCCAAGAACCGUUUUGAGGGAUGGAAGUUUUGUGGCCGACGACUCGCCAGAAGAUGAGUGAGAAGUACCCUGAUAAUUUGAAUCAGGCGGGUUAAGAGGCUGGCGGAAACAACCUGCUUUGGGGCAUGAAGUAUCAAUGGGAUAAGAGACCUCUGAUCGGCGUUUCCGAACCGGACGGUUCGGUAAACCGGCGGAGGUAACUACCUGGCCGCUGUGCCGGGUUGUGCGGCGAGCCUCGUGCUGCUGUGUCUUCAAAAGAAAUUUUGGGUCCAAGUAAGCAAGGGGGUGAGAAAAUUUUACUUUCCAGUUUGCUCGACGGAUUUUCGAUGUCGGCAGAGGAUCUGAAUCGGCGGAAAGAAUGAUUACCUCUACAUCGUCAGUAUGACUGCCUUCAGCGUCGUCCUGAUAAUAAUCAUUGUCAAUGAGGUGUACGAAAAAUGAACCAAGAGAGUCAGGUUCUACCUCUGGUUCUGGAUUACCCACAUCGUCAUCAGCUGGUAGGUCGGAGGAUGCAGUGGUCCUUCUCUUGGCAGGGUUUUUAACGACCUUGGUCUUUGGACGAACUGGCUUGACCGGUUUGUCUUGCGGCUUCGCCGGUUUGUCUUGUGAUGGUUUCUUGUUCCAGAACGGAUCAUCACCCUGUCAGAAAAUAAUCACACUUUCAGAGAAUAUUUGGACAAAAGCAACUUCAGAUAAAAAGAUUAUAUGAUUCUUACAGCUGGUGGUUUGUUGAAGGUGCAGAAAGGGAGUAGUCCGGUUUGGGAACAGACAGCCUCCGGUUCGUUCAGUAUCUUUUUUACAGCCUCAGUGACUUCUGCAUCUAUAAGCUGAAUGUCAAUGUGCCGCUGAGCAUCCUUCAAACUCCCCGUAUACUCACACAUCAAACCGGAGCGCCGGCUUAAGGGCAGAAUACUCCAGCUUAUCCAACAACGAGCAAGAUCAACUCCUGUCAAACCGUUUUCCAUGAAGGCUCUGAGCUUUGAUAAUUGAGGAGCAUAGUUGGCCCUUUCUCUUGCAGUCAACCUCUGAGGAAAAGGAUGUGUGUUGCUCAAGCGUUCAGGGCGGUAACCCGGCAGGGGGUUUUCAUCAGAUGGAGAGGUAUCCAUGCAAUAAAACCAAGUCUGGUUCCACUCUUUGGGGUGACUGUGGAGUUUGGGAUGAGGGAAGGUGACUUCUUUCCUUUUCUGAACCGCCAUUCUGCCCAGUUCCGUAUUGGGUCCAUCCGAGAACUUUGUGCGACGGUUUAAGUGAAAGAAAUCCCUAAACAGUUUGACUAUAGGUUCCUCUUGCAGGUAAACCUCACAGAAGACUUGGAAGUGGCAGAUGUUGGUUACAGAAUUGGGACCGAUGUCUUGAGGGCGCAGCUGAAAAUUGGCUAGUACAUCUCGGAAAAUUUUCGAACCGGUAGGGCUAAAACCUCGACUCAGAUGGUCAGCAAACACGACUACCUCUCCGUCCUUGGGUGUAGGAGGAUUUUCCGGGCCAGGGACCCUCCAGUGGAUGACAUCUUUCUUGGCUAAAGCGCCCGUUUUAACAAGAUUGUUUAACUGUUCUUCGGUUACUCAAGAAGGAGCCCAAUUGCAUUCAUAGACUUGCUUGGCCAUGGCAAUGAAAGAUCUGAAACAUGGUUAUUGCCGGUUUAAGAUUUACAAAGGACAACUAUACAGCGGUAUAAGGAUGUUAGCAUAUUGUUAAACCGGAAUUGGUUAUUCGUAAACCGGAGUCUGACAAUGGAAACAGUACAAUGAUGAACGCAUUAGCGGUUCAACAGGGGACUAAUGGUAUCUACUGGGUCAUCAUUCUGUAUAUGAAGUUAAACCGCCCAAUCUGGUAUUAAAAAUGUACAAGUGAAGGAAGAAACAAGUUUCACAUCUUGCCAGGGUAAUUUCAGAUCUACCGCGCGUUGGAAAAACAAAAUAUAUUCUGACCUAAUUUCCAGCGUGUUAAAGGUUCACCAAGUUCAGAUGAGUUGGAUAUCAAGUAGGUGCCUUAACAAGAAGAAAGGAUUCUAAACUACAAAAGGCGCUGAAAAUAGUCAGAUCUAACCGGCCAUUGGUGCUACCGAAGGAAGAACAGCUUCAAGCUAUGAAGAACACCGAACCCUAAUGGCGGAUCUAGGGCGAGAAGAAGAGGGACUUACUGGUGCAGGAGGAAGCAGCGGAGGGUCACCGCUUUUCUCUGGUACGAUCAGGUUGAUGCAGCGGCCUUUGUCGAAGCAGAGGCGAAGGACGACAGUGGCAGCAGAGCUUGAGGGUCGGUCGGCGCGAGGAAGACGACGACGUGAAGAUGCACGAGGGGGAAAAUGGAAAGACCCCCUGGCCCUAUUUAUAAGGGCAGAAAAAUAAGCGUCAGGCGCGAGAAUCGAGGAGCCUAAAUUUUGGAUAUGAGGCGGAGCUGUCGCCUCGAUUGUUGGAGGCUCGUUAAUGAAGGUGGAUUAUACACAGUUUUAAAUAACAGGUGACGUCAUGGCGGUUUACCAUGAUCCUAGAAGAUGAUGUCACGGCGGUUUACAAGAUCAUGUGAAGAUGUUGAAGAAGAAAAUUUCUGAAGUAUUGAGGAUUGACGUGAACCAGUUCAAAUCAAUCUGGGUCCUAAUGUUGGGGAUAUUACCACCGGGCGUAAACCGGCCAGGAGAGCCGGGUUAACCCCAUAAGUAGUUCAUCUGUAUCUGAAGUCCAUGAAGACAGACGGUGACGCUUUAUGGAGGCCCAAGGCCCAAAGCCGGUUUAAGGCCUAUAGACAUAAACCGGCAUUGAUAUGUAAACUUGUGUUGUAAGAUAGAAGUAGCAGAGACCGAGUCGGACACGAUUAUGAGCCGGCCUCGGGAUUCUGUAAACCGACAGGUGUCAACCCAUGUAUAUAAGGGGAUGACCCGGCGGCGGUUCAAGGACAACAGACAACAACUCGAGACUCAGGCAAAGCGUAUUCGCUCCCUGGUCAUCGAAACUCCAGCAAUUCCAUCACAACUAGACAUAGGCUUUUACCUUCAUCGUAAGGGGCCGAACUAGUAUAAAAACUCUCUUGCGUCCCUUGUCCGCUUUAACCCCUUUAAGUUAACCCGUAGCGAUGGCUCCACGAUAAAGUCCUUUCUCUAGGACAUCUGCCGUGACAAAACCACGACAGCUGGCCUGGCGGAUAUCCAAAGUUAUAGUUGGGGUCGUACUGAGAUGCAGCAGUCAUUGCAUUGUGUGCUACAGCUUGGAGGCGAGCUACCUCAGCCCUCCUCUUAUACUCGUCCACCUCCUCCCUGGUUAUGAAAUAUCUUCCCUUUGCCUGAAAGUCAAAGAAUGUAGAAGCAGGGAGAGUGACGUGAUAGGUGCAUCGUCUAUCAAAGAUUAGUCGGUACUGGAGGAACUGAUCGUUCCUCUUAACAAAACGAUGACGAACCAUAGCCUCAUAAUCUAAAUAAGCAGGAGGCAACUCAAUAUCAUCCUCACGUAUGGUUACACCAAGAGAAUUAGCUAAACGGGUUGCAUAAAUUCCACCAAAGAAAUCUCCAUUAAAUCUAUUAUUAUGCAACCUACGUGCAACAAUGGCUCCCAAAUUAUAAUGUUUAUCUCCUAACACAGCACUCCUGAGAACACUAAGGUCAGGGACACACAUGUGACAUGCUUCAUCCUUACCAUUUAUGCACCUACAUAUGAAGAGAGCAAAAUAAUGUAUAGCAGGAAAAUGAAUGCUCCCUAUGGUAGCUUGUGCUAUGUCUCUAGAUUCCCCCACAGUUAUACUAGCAAGAAAAUCUCUAAAAUCAGAUUUGCGAGGCUCACUAGUACUACCCCAUUGUGGAAGUUUGCAAGCAGUGGUAAAAUCCUCUAAGUCCAUAUUAUAAGAAUUUUCAUAAAGAUCAAACAGGACAGUUUGAGAAUUGCGUGAACAUGAAAAUUCAAACCUCCUCACAAAGGAACUAGUGAGAUAGUGGUACUUACGGCACUUAUCUGCCUCGAAGCUCACAAGAUCGGCGUUGCGUACAUGUGUGUUAAAUUCUUCCUUGAUUCCUCCUUGAUCCAUGAAGUCCUCUGAAGGCCAUUCACAAGCCCGCACUGGAGCGUCCCUUGGUGGUUCAUCAUCAGCAUCACGCAUUGCAAGCAUGGGUCCUUGCUUCCUUGAAGAACCACCUUGGUACAUGUUCCUAAACAUAUUUCUUCCUCUGAAAAAUUUCUGAAAUUUUUAGUAACUUCAAAUAAAGGUGAACCAAGCUCAACAAAAUUGAUAGCAACUACUCCUACAAGUGACUAGAGCCUAUAUCAUGCAUUAGAACUACUUGGAACCAUAUAAAUUUGACAUGCAAGCUCAAGAAUAGGGUCACCUAGGCAGCACAAAUUUGCAAUGAAUAAAGCACUAGAAUAAAAACUAAUUGGACCAUUGGAGGAGUCGCAUACCAAGGAACAAUCCCCCAAAGUAGUUUUGUGAGAGGUGCUUUGAGCAAGGAGAUCAAAAAUCGCAGCAAAAUGAGCUAGAACUCAUGCUUGAGCUGGUUGGUGAUUUUUUUGGGAGAAAGAAGACGUGUGUGGGUGCAGGAAUAAGUGGAGGGGAGCCACCAUGGGCCCACGAGGCAGGGGGCGCGCCCUGGACCCUCGUGCCCAGGUGCUUGCUCCCCCUGAUGUGUUCUCAGUGCCAGAUAUUCUCAAAUAUUCCAGAAAAAAUCAUAUUAAAUUGGCAGGGCAUUUGGAGAACUUUUAUUUUCAGGGUAUUUUUAUAUUGCACGGAUAAUUCAGAAAACAGACAGAAAAUACUAAUUUUACUUUAUUUCAACUAAAUAACAGAAAGUAAAAGGAGGGUACAGAAGGUUGUGCCUUCUAACUUCAUCCAUCUCAUGCUCAUCAAAAGGAAUCCACUAACAAGGUUGAUCAGGUCUUGUUAACAAACUCAUUCCGACUAACAUGGAACCGGAGAAAUUUCGAAUAACACUAUGUUACCUCAACGGGGAUAUGCACAUCCCCAAUAAUAAGAAUAUCAUAUUUCUUCUUGACAAUAGGUAGAGGAAAUUCGAAACCUCCAAAAAUAAUCGAUGGAAAUUUUCCAAUAGAGUUGAUACUAUGAACUUGAGGUUGUUUCCUCGGAAAGUGUACCGUAUGCUCAUUACCAUUAACAUGAAAAGUGACAUUGCCUUUGUUGCAAUCAAUAACAGCCCCUGCAGUAUUCAAAAAGGGUCUUCCAAGAAUAAUAAACAUACUAUCGUCCUCGGGAAUAUCAAGAAUAACAAAGUCCGUUAAAAUAGUAAUGUUUGCAACCACAACAGGCACAUCCUCACAAAUACCGACAGGUAUAGCAGUUGAUUUAUCAGCCAUUUGCAAACAUAUUUCAGUAGGUGUCAACUUAUUCAAAUCAAGUCUACGAUAUAAAGAGAGAGGCAUAACACUAACACCAGCUCCAAGAUCACAUAAAGCAGUUUUAACAUAGUUUCUUUUAAUGGAGCAUGGUAUAGUUGGUACCCCUGGAUCUCCUAAUUUCUUUGGUAUUCCACCCUUGAAAGUGUAAUUAGCAAGCAUGGUGGAAAUUUCAGCUUCCGGUAUCUUUCUUUUAUUAGUAACAAUUUCUUUCAUAUACUUAGCAUAAGGAUUCAUUUUGAGCAUAUCAGUCAAACGCAUACGCAAAAAGAUAGGUCUAAUCAUUUCAGCAAAGCGCUCAAAAUCCUCAUCAUCCUUUUUCUUGGAUGGUUUGGGAGGAAAAGGCAUGGGUUUUUGAACCCAUGGUUCUCUUUAUUUACCAUGCUUCCUAGCAACAAAGUCUCUCUUAUCAUAACGUUGAUUCUUUGAUUGUGGGUUAUCAAGAUCAACAGCAGGUUCAAUUUCUACAUCAUCAUCAUUACUAGGUUGAGCAUCGACAUGAACAUCAUCAUUAACAUUAUCACUAGGUUCAUGUUCAUUACCAGAUUGUGUUUCAGCAUCAGAAAUAGAAAUAUCAUUAGGAUUCUCAGGUGGUUCAGCAAUAGGUUCACUAGAAGCAUGCAAAGUCCUAUCAUUUUUCUUUUUUUUCUUUUUAGAGGGACUAGGUGCGUCUAUAUUAUUUCUAUGAGAAUCUUGCUCAAUUCUCUUAGGGUGGCCUUUAGGAUACAAAGGUUCCUGAGUCAUUUUACCAGUUCUAGUAGCCACUCUAAUAGCAAAAUCAUUAUUCUUACUAUUCAAUUCAUUGAGCAAAUCAUUUUGAGCUUUAAGUACUUGUUCUACUUGAGUGGUAACCAUAGAAGCAUGUUUACUAAUGAGUUUAAGUUCACCUUUAACUCUAGACAUAUAAUCACCCAAGUGUUCAAUCAUAUAAGCAUUUUGUUUUAAUUGUCUACCAACAUAAGCAUUGAAGUUUUCUUGUUUGACAAUAAAAUUAUCGAACUCAUCUAAGCAUUGGCUAGCAAACUUAGUAGGAGGGAUUCAAGCUUUAUCAUAUCUAUAGAGAGAAUUUACCUUUACUACCUGUGUCGGGUUAUCAAAACCAUGUGUUUCUUCAAUAGGUGAUGGAUUAAAACCAUGUAUUUCUUCAACAGGCGGUAAAUUAAGACCAUGUAUUUCUUCAAUAGGAGGUAAAUUCUUAACAUCUUCAGCUUUAAUACCCUUUUCUUUCAUAGAUUUCUUUGCCUCUUGCAUAUCUUCAGGACUGAGGAAUAGAACACCCCUCUUCUUUGGAGUUGGCUUAGGAGUUGGUUCAGGAAGUGUCCAAUUAUUUUAAUUUUUCAACAUAUUAUUCAAUAGGAUUCAGCUUCAUCUGGUGUUCUUUCCCUGAAAACAGAACCAGGACAACUAUCCAGGUGGUCUCUGGAAGCAUCGGUUAGUCCAUUAUAAAAGAUAUCAAGUAUUUCAUUUUUCUUAAGAGGAUGAUCAGGAAAAGCAUUAAGUAAUUGGAGAAGCCUCCCCCAAGCUUGUGGGAGACUCUCUUCUUCAAUUUGCAUAAAAUUAUAUAUUUCCCUUAAGGCAGCUUGUUUCUUAUGAGCGGGGAAAUAUUUAGCAGAGAAGUAAUAAAUCAUGUCCUGGGGACUACGCACACAACCAGGAUCAAGAGAAUUAAACCAUAUCUUAGCAUCACCCUUUCAUGAGAACGGAAAUAUUUUAAGGAUAUAAUAGUAGCGAGUUUUCUCAUGAUUAGUAAACAGGGUGGCUAUAUCAUUUAAUUUAGUAAGAUGUGCCACAACAGUUUCAUAUUCAUAGCCAUAAAAAGGAUCGGAUGCAACCAAAGUAAUUAUAUCGGGAUCAAUGAAGAAUUCAUAAUCCUUAUCAGUAACAAAGAUAGGUGAAGUAGCAUAAGCAGGAUCAUAUUUCAUUCUAGCAUUCAGAGUUUUUUGUUUAAGCUUGGCUAAUAAUUUCUUAAGAUCACUUCUAUCAUUGCAAGCAAGAAAGUCUCUAGCAGUUUCUUCAUCCAUAACAUAGCCCUCAGGCACAACAGGCAAUUCAUAUUUAUUGGGAGAGUCUUCAUCAUCACUUUCAUCAAUAUUAUCAGUUUCAAUAAUUUCAUUCUCUCUAGCCCUAGCAAGUUUUUCAUCAAUAAAUUCACCAAGUGGCAUAGUAGUAUCAAGCAUAGAAGUAGUUUCAUCAUAAGUAUCAUGCAUAGCAGAAGUGGCAUCAUCAAUAACAUGCGACAUAUCAGAAUUAAUAGCAGAAGCAGGUUUAGGUGUCGCGAGCUUACUCAAAACAGAAGGUGAAUCAAGUGCAGAGCUAGAUGGCAGUUCCUUACCUCCCCUCGUAGUUGAGGGAUAAAUUUUUGUUUUCUCGUCUUUCAAGUUCCUCAUAGUGACCAGCAGAUAUAAAUCCCAAGUGACUCAAAGAAUAGAGCUAUGCUCCCCGGCAACGGCGCUAGAAAAUAGUCUUGAUAACCCACAAGUAUAGGGGAUCGCAACAGUUUUCGAGGGUAGAGUAUUCAACCCAAAUUUAUUGAUUCGACACAAGGGGAGCCAAAGAAUAUUCUCAAGUAUUAGCAGUUGAGUUGUCAAUUCAACCACACCUAGAUAACUUAGUAUCUGCAGCAAAGUAUUUAGUAGCAAAGUUGUAUGGAAGUAACGGUAACAGUAGCAAAAGUAAUAUUUUUGGGUUUUGUAGUGAUUAUAACAGUAGCAACGGAAAAGUAAAUAAGCGGAGAACAAUAUGUGAAAAGCUCGUAGGCAUUGGAUCGGUGAUGGAGAAUUAUGCCGGAUGCGGUUCAUCAUGUAACAAUCAUAACAUAGGGUGACACAGAACUAGCUCCAAUUCAUCAAUGUAAUGUAGGCAUGUAUUCCGAAUAUAGUCAUACGUGCUUAUGGAAAAGAACUUGCAUGACAUCUUUUGUCCUACCCUCCCGUGGCAGCGGGGUCCUAACGGAAACUAAGGGAUAUUAAGGCCUCCUUUUAAUAGAGUACCGGACCAAAGCAUUAACACAUAGUGAAUACAUGAACUCCUCAAACUAUGGUCAUCACUGGGAGUGGUCCCGAUUAUUGUCACUUCGGGGUUGUCGGAUCAUAACACAUAGUAGGUGACUAUAGACUUGCAAGAUAGGAUCAAGAACUCACAUAUAUUCAUGAAAACAUAAUAGGUUCAGAUCUGAAAUCAUGGCACUCGGGCCCCAGUGACAAGCAUUAAGCAUAGCAAAGUCAUAGCAACAUCAAUCUCAGAACAUAGUGGAUACUAGGGAUUGAACCCUAACAAAACUAACUCGAUUACAUGAUAAAUCUCAUCCAACCCAUCACCGUCCAGCAAGCCUACGUGGAAUUACUCACGCACGGCGGUGAGCAUCAUGAAAUUGGUGAUGGAGGAUGGUUGAUGAUGACGACGGCGACAGAUUCCCCUCUCCGGAGCCCCGAACGGACUCCAGAUCAGCCCUCCCGAGAGAGUUUAGGGCUUGACGGCGGCUCCGUAUCGUAAAACACAAUGAAUCUUUCUCUCUGAUUUUUUUCUCCCCGAACACGAAUAUAUGGAGUUGGAGUUGAGGUCGGUGGAGCUCCAGGGGGCCCACGAGGCAGGGGCGCCCCCCCCCCCACCCUCGUGGCAAGGGUGUGGGCCCCCUGGCCUUGAUUCUUUCGCCAGUAUUUUUUAUUAUUUCCAAAAAUAAUCUCCGUGGAGUCUCAGGUCAUUCCGAGAACUUUUGUUUCUGCACAUAAAUUAACACCAUGGCAAUUCUGCUGAAAACAGCGUCAGUCCGGGUUAGUUCCAUUCAAAUCAUGCAAGUUAGAGUCCAAAACAAGGGCAAAAGUGUUUGGAAAAGUAGAUACGACGGAGACGUAUCAAUGCCCAUAUUGGUUCCUACAUAUUCAACGAAGAUCUUUAUCGGUUGAACCAGGAUGUCAAGGAUUCAGUCAAUCCCGUAUGAAAUUCCCUUUGUUCGGCGAUAUGUUACUUGCCCGAGAUUCGAUCGUCGGUAUCUCCAUACCUAGUUUAAUCUCGUUCCCGGCAAGUCUCUUUACUCAUUUCGUAAUACAAGAUCCCAUGACUAAACUCAUUAGUCACAUGAAGCUUCUUAUGAUGUUGUAUUACUGAGAGGGCCCAGAGAUAUCUCUCCGUCACGCGGAGCGACAAAUCCCAGUCUCGAUCCAUGCAACCCAACAGACACCUUCGGAGAUAUCUUUAGAGUACCUUUAUGAUCACCCAGUUAUGAAGUGACGUUUGAUAGCACACAAGGCAUUCCUCUGGUAUCCAGGAGUGGCUUGAUCUCAUGUUCUAAGGAACUAAUACUUGACAUGAAGAAAGAGAUAGCAAAUAACUAAACGAUCUGAUGGUAAGCUUACGGUUGGGUCUGUCCAUCACAUCAUUCUCCUAAUGAUGUGAUCCUAUUAUCAAAUGACAACUCAUGUCUAUGGUUAGGAAACCAUAACCAUCUUUAAACGAGCUAGUCUAGUAGAGGCUUACUAGGGACACGGUGUAGUUUAUGUAUACACACAUGUAUUUAAGUUUCCGAUCAAUACAAUUUUAGCAUGAAUAAUAAACAUUUAUCAUGAAUGGGAAAUAUGAUAAUAACCAUUUUAUUAUUGCCUCUAGGGCAUAUUUCCAACAGUCUCCCACUUGCACUAGAGUCAAUAAUCUAGUUCACAUCGCUAUGUGAUCAACCCCCAAUGAGUUAUGGGGUUUGAUCAUGUUUUGCUUGUCAGAGAGGUUUUAGUCAACGGCUCUGCAACAUUCAGAUCCGUAUGUACUUUGCAAAUCUCUAUGUCUACAAUGCUCUGUAUGGAGCUACUCUAGCUAACUACUCCCACAUUCAAUACGUAUCCAGAUUAAGACUCAGAGUCAUCCAGAUCGUGUCAUAGCUUGCAUCGACGUAACCCUUUCCCACGAACUCUUUAUCACCCAUAACCGAGAAACAUUUCCUUAGUCCUCUGUAGGUACCUAAGGAUAUUAUUAACCGUUGUCCAGUGAUAUACUCUUGGAUCACUUUGAUACCUCCCUGCCGUACUUAUGGCAAGGCACACAUCAGAUCUGGUACACAGCGUGGUAUACAUUAUAGAGCCUAUGGCUGAAGCAUAGGGGAUGACUUUCAUCCUUUCUCUUUCUUCUGCCUUGGUCGAGCCUUGAGUCUUACUCAAAUUCACACCUUGCAAUAUAGGAAAGAACUCCUUCUUUGACUAAUCCAUUUUUAACUCCUUCAAAAUCUUUUCAUGGUAUGUGCUCCGUGAAAAUCUUAUCAGGCGUCUUGAUCUAUCUCUAUAGAUCUUGAUGCCCAAUAUGGAAGCAGCUUUACCCAUGUCUUCCUUUGAAAAACUCCUUUCAAACAACCCUUUAAGCUUUCCAGAAAUUCUACAUCAUUUCCAAUCAACAAUGUAUCAUUCACAUAUACUUAUCAGAAAUGCUAUAGAGCUCCCACUCACUUUCUUGUAAAUACAAGCUUCUCUGUAAGUUUGUAUAAAACCAAAAGCUUUGAUCACCUCAUCAAAGCUUAUAUUCCAACUCCGUGAUGCUUGCACCAGUCCAUAGAUGGACCGCUAGAGCUUGCAUACUUUGUUAGCAUCCUUAGGAUCGACAAAACCUUUCGAUUGCAUCAUAUACAACUCUUCCUUAAGAAAACCGUUAAGGAACACUGUUUUGACGUCCAUCUGCUAGAUUUCAUAAUCAUAGUAUGCGGCAAUUGCUAACAUAAUUCUAACAAACUUAAGCAUCGCCACGGGUGAGAAAGUGUCAUCGUAGUCAACUCCUUGAAUUUGUCGAAAACCCUUUGUGACAAGUCAAGCUUUAUAGACGAUGAAAUUACCAUCAACGUAUGUCUUCUUCUUAAAGAUCCAUUUAUUCUCAAUGGCUUGCCGAUCAACGGGCAAGUCCACAAAAGUUCAUACUUUGUUCUCAUACAUGGAUCCUAUCUCGGAUUUCAUGGCCUCAAACCAUUUAUCAGAAUCCAGGCUCAUCAUUGCUUCUUCAUAGUUCGUAGGUUCACCGUUGUCUAACAACAUGACUUCCAAGACGGGAUUACCAUACCACUCAGGUGCAGAACGUGUCCUGGUCGACCUACGAAGUUCAGUAGUAACUUGAUCCAAAGUUUCAUGAUCAUCAUCAUUAGCUUCCUCUCCGGUUGGUGUAGGCAUCACGGGAACUACUUUCUGUGAUGUGCCACUCUCCAGUUCGAGAGAAGGUACAAUUACUGUUGGGAAACGUUGCAUGGAAGAAGAAAAAUCUACGCAGGCGCAAGAUCUAUCCAUGGAGAAGCAUAGCAACGAGAGGGGACAGUGUGUCUACGUACCCUCAUAGACCGUAAGCGGAAGCAUUUAUUAAUGCGGUUGAUGUAGUCGAUCUUCUUCGCGACCCAACCAAUUGAGUACCGAACGUACGAAACAUUUGCGUUCAGCACACGUUUAGCUCGGUGACGUCCUCGCCUUCUUGAUCCAGCAAGACGGCGAAGUAGUGGAUGAGUUCCGGCAGCACGAUGGUGUGGUGACGGUGGUGGUGAUGCUAUCUUCGCAGGGCUUCACCUAAGCACCCCGAAAAUAUGACCAAGGGACGAAACUGUGGAGAGGGGCGUCGCACACGGCUAAGAGAUUGGCGUGGGCUAUGUGUGGCGCCCCCUCCCACAUAUAUAUAGGUGGGGGAGAGGGGAGGCAGCCAGGAGGCGCCCCAAGUGGGGCCGAAUCCCACUUGGGCUCCUGCCCCAAGCCGCGCCCCCUUUCCUUGUUUGUGUGCGGGAGGAAGGCAGGUGCCCCCCCCUUUCCUUUCUCUCAUGGGGAGGGAAAGGCAGGAGGGGCCAACCCUCUCCCUUUCCUUCCCCUAGGGCCGGCGGUCAGGGAGAGGGGCGCGCCAGCCCCCUUGUGGGUUGGUGUGUCCCUCCUCUUGGCCCAUUAGGCCCAUAGACCUCCCGGGGGUGUCCGGAACCCCUUUCGGCGAUCCGAUGACUACCCGGUGCACUCCGAAACUCUUCCGGUGUCCAAAUAGUAUCAUCCUAUAUAUCAAUCUUUACCCCCGGACCAUUCCGGAGCUCCUCGUCAUGCCCGCGAUCUCAUCCGGGACUCCGAACAACAUUCGGUCACCAAAUCAUAUAACUCAUAUAACACUAUAUCGUCAAUGAACGUUAAGCGUGCGGACCCUACGGGUUCGAGAAGUAUGUAGACAUGAGUGAGACACCUCUCCAGUGAAAAACCAAUAGCGGAACCAGGAUGCCCAUAUUGGCUCCUACAUAUUCUACGAAGAUCUUUAUUGGUCGAACCUUUAUGACAACAUACAUAAUUCCCUUUGUCCGUCGGUAUGUUACUUGCCCGAGAUUCGAUCGUUGGUAUCUUCAUACCUAGUUCAAUCUCAUUACCGGCAAGUCUCUUUACUCGUUCCGUAAUACAUCAUAUCGUAACUAACUCCUUAGUCACUUUGCUUGCAAGCUUCUUGUGAUGUGUAUUACCGAGAGGGCCCAGAGAUACCUCUCUGUUACUCGGAGUGACAAAUUCCAAUCUCAAUCCAUGCCAACUCAACAAACACCUUCGGAGAUACCUGUAGAGCAUCUUUAUGAUCACCCAUUUACGUUGUGACGUUUGAUAUCCCGCAAGGUAUUCCUCCGGUAUCCGCGAGUUGCAUGAUCUCAUCGUCAAAGGAAUAUGUAUUUGACAUUAAGAAAGCAAUAGCAAUAAACUGAACGAUCAUAUGCUAAGCUAACAGAUGGGUCUUAUCCAUCACAUCAUUAUUCUAAUGAUGUGAUCCCACUAUCAAGUGACAACACAUGUCUAUGGUUAGGAAACCUUAACCAUCUUUGAUCAACGAGCUAUUCUAGUAGAGGCUUGCUAGGGACACGGUAUUUGUUUAUGUAUCCACACGUGUAUUUAAGCUUCCAAUCAAUACAACUCUAGCAUGAAUAAUAAACCUUUAUCAUGAAUAAGGAAAUAUAAAAUAACAACUUUAUUAUUGCCUCUAGGGCAUAUUUCCUUCAAUUACCUCAUCAAGUUCUACUUUCCUCCCACUGACUUCUUUCGAGAGAAACUCCUUCUCCAGAAAGGAUCCAUUCCUGACAACAAGGACUUGUCUUCGGAUCUAUGAUAGAAGGUAUUCUAUGAAGACAUACUUCUCCGCUUUGGGUUCGAGCUUAUCAGGCAUAAGUGUCGCAUCCCCAAACUUCAAGAAACUACAACAUAGGUUUCUUGCCAAACCGUAGUUCUUAUGGUGUCAUCUCAAUGGAUUUAGAUGGUGCCCUGUUGAAAGUGAAUGUUGUUGUCUCUAAUGCAUAACCCCAAAAUGAUAGUGGCAACCUGGUAAGACACAUCAUAGAACGCACCAUAUCCAAUAGAAUACGAUUAUGAUGUUCAGAUACACCAUUACGCUGUGGUGUCCCAGGUGGCAUGAGCUGUGAAACAAUUCCACAUGCAUACCAAAUUCGUAACUCAAGUAUUCACCUCCACGAUCAGAUCAUAGAAACUUUAUUUUCUUGUUAUGAUGAUUCUCCACUUCACUCUAAAAUUCUUUGAACUUUUCAAAAUGUUUCAGACUUGUGUUUCAUUAAGUAAAUAUACCCAUAUCUACUCAAAUCGUCUGUGAAGGUAAGAAAAUAAUUAUAUCCACCGCGUGCUUCAACACUCAUCGCAUCGCAUACAUCGGUAUGUAUUUAUUUCCAAUAAGUCACUAGCCCGCUCCACUGUUCCAGAGAACGGAGUUUUAGUUAUCUUGCUCAUAAGGCAUGGUUCACAUGUCUCAAGUGAUUCAUAAUCAUGAAAUUUUAAAAGUCCAUUAGCAUGGAGUUUCUUCAUGCGCUUUACACUAAUAUGACCUAAGCAGCAGUGCCACAAAUAUGUGGUACUAUCAUCAUUAACUUUGCAUCUUUUGGCAUCAAUAUUAUGAAUAUGUGUAUCACUACGAUCGAGAUUCAACAAGAAUAAACCAUCCACAAGGGGUGCAUGACCAUAAGAGAUAUUAAUCAUAUAAUAGAAUAAUCAUUAUUCUCUGACUUAAAUGAAUAACCGUCUUGCAAUGAACAAUAUCCAAAUAUAAUAUUUUAUGCUCAACGCAGGCACCAAAUAACCAUUAUUUAGGAUUAAUACUAUUCUCGAAGGUAUUACGAGCAUGCCGAUGGUGAUCAUAUCAACCUUGGAGACACAUCCAACACUCAUCGUCACCUCGCCCUCAGCUAGUCUCUGUUACUCCGCAGCUCCUGCUUCGAGUUACUAAUAUUAGCAACUGAACCGGUAUCAAAUACCCAGGUGCUACUACGAGCACUAGUGAGGUACACAUCAAUAACAUGUUUAUCAAAUAUACACGCUGUCGGAUCACGGGUUCCGGCAAAAGCCGUAAGGUUCGAACUCUGGGGUGCGCGCGAAGUUCUUUCCCUCCUAUCGGUCCACGCCCUAGCUUGCUAAGAUCUCGCGGACGAACUCAACAAACUCACAACACAAGAGACACAAGAUUUAUACUGGUUCGUGCCACCGUUGUGGUGUAAUACCCUACUCCAGUGUGGUGGUGGUGGAUUGCCUCUUGGGCUGAUGAUGAACAGUACAAGGGGAAGAACAGCCUCCUGAGGUUGAGGUGUUCUUGUGCUUGGUGUGUGGCUAAGGAUCAGGUGAGAUGCCUCUUAAUGAGUUAUCUCCUACGGUGGUGGCUAGUUCUAUUUAUAGAGGCCCUGGUCCUCUCCCCAAAUAUUGAGCGGGAAGGGAGCCAACAACGGCCAAUUUGAAAGGGGACCACUAGUACAGCUUAUCCUGACAAAAGCGGUCUUCACCUGCAAAAGGCUCUGGUGGUGACGCCGCCUUGGGCUCCAUGGUGACCUCCAUCUUGCCGUCCUGCUGGUCUUGGUCUCGUUGCACUGAUAUGGAAACCUUUGCUUGAUGCCUCGGUACUCUGCGCCUGCACUUGCCUCCUUAGCACCAAAGGGGAAACAAGGACGCUGCGCGCGCUGGCGCCCGCCUGGUCUCGAUCGUCAUGGCUCAUGUCACGAGAACCUCGCGAGGUCUGCCUCGCCUUGAUCUCUCUGCCCCUCGCGAGCCUGCCUGGUUAGGCCGCUCCUGAGGAGGUCUUGUGUUGUCCGCCUCGCGAGGCUUGGCCCCUCGCGAGGGUCUUGAAUGCCUUGUUGAUGAAGAUGGGUCGUACAGGCCUGCUAGCACAGCCACGCCGUGGGCCGCAGGCAGGCAAGUCUGGGGACCCCCGUUUCCAGAACGCCGACAGUAGCCCCCGGGCCCAAGGUGCGCUCGGGCUUGGCUUCAAGGCGAAGCCAAAGGUCAAGUACGGAGCCCCGUGGGCCCCAAAAGCCUGCGGCCUUGGUCGACGUGUGGCGGUUGAUUGGACGUGGGCGUCUCCGCUUCCCCACGCUGCCUCGGCAACUGCCCGACUUGACAAAAGGCUGGCGCAGACAGUGCUUGCCUUCAUUGCUUGCCUUCGCCUUGCUCAGAUCCCCUUUCUUGCGCCCUGCUUCCGAAAUCCUCAGAUCUGCUUCAACCCUCCACCGCAUCAGCGACCGAUGGCGCCGCGUAAGGUCAAGCCCUCCUCGUUGCCGGCUUGGUACGAACCAGCUCUUGACGUACCCAACAUCUCGGAGAAGAGCCUUGCCGCCAUGCGCUUGCUGACGGCGGGGGAGAGCAACGAAAGGGGGAAGACGGAGCCCCGAGCUGCCUCCGACGUGCCGGAGCCCGAGGGGAGCACGUUCUUCCGCUUCUUCACGAGCAGUAUCGCCGCUGGGUUGGUUGCUCCUUUCUCUGAUUUCUUCUACGAGGUCCUCGGCCACUACGGGCUGCAGGCGCUGCAUCUCCAUCCCAACUCCAUCCUUCUCUUGUCCAUCUUCGCCUAUUAUUGCGAGGCGUAUCUAGGCAUGAUGCCGUCCGUGGCUCUGCUGCGCCACUUCUUCUUCCUCCGCACCAGCGAGGGUCAUAUCUCCGGGUGCGCCAAUUUCAUCGCGACCGGCAAGGCCAACUCGAUCUUGAACACCGGGAAGAAGGCCGACAACCUUAGGGCCAAAUGGGUCAUGAUGGGCGCCAAGUGUGUCCACCCGCGCUUGGCGCUGCCGACGGAAAUGCCCCAGUCCGACAAGGGGUGGUCUCGUGCAAAGCUCACUGAUGAGCGGGCGUCGUCGGUGUUGGCGCAGAUGCAGAUCAACCUGAAGCCGGGCAACACGAAGGCGGCGAAGGUGACAGGGGCCAUGCUCCUGAGGGAAUUCCUGCUGCUGCGCGUCGCCCCUCUUCAGGCGCGUGCGCGCCCCUUGUGGAGGCUUGGAGAUGAGGAAGACAAGAUUCGCCUGAGCCCGAAGGCCUUGCCUGAUAACGAGCUGUCUGCAGUUUUCCGCCUCUUGGUCGGGGACAACCAAGAGUACCCGCCGAGCGCCUUCGUUCCUUUGUUCCGCCGCGUGGACUGGGAGCAGAUCGUGGCCGCCCGGCCGACUUUUGACGCGCGUGGGCUGGUGCCGCCGGCGCCCACCGGGGCCUCUGCCACGCCGAAGCCGGUGGAGCUGUCUUCUGACGAGUCCCGUGGGAAGGAAGAAGAGGAGGUGGACUCAGAGGCGACCCCCGAAGAGAUGGGGGAGACUUCCCCUUUGAGCAAGGCCGACAUCCUCCGCGCCUUGCCAGACGACGCCGAGAUCGACGCCUGUCAGGAGGAGGGAGAGCUGCCCGUUAUCCCGACGAGGGGAGGUCGUCGCUGGUUUCUCGGGGUGCUGCCUCCGCCUCGACGCCGCCAGGAGCUGCCUCCGGCCCUUCUGCUGCGCCGUCUUCUGCUCCUGGGGCCCGUGUGCCCACUCCUCAGGCUCCGAAGCUUUCGGGUUUUAGGCUCCCCAAGCGGAAGGUGGACUACAUCGCGGUGGAUCAGUAAGUGCUUCGAGCUUCGUCUUGUUCCUACUUGUACUUGCUAUUUUCUGACGUUCACCCUUGGUUGAUCAAGCCGAUGCCUUCGGCGAAGAAAAGGAAGGAGGACACAGCGGCCGCGCCCCCCUCUGCAGAGAAAGGAGGCGACAGAACUCGCACCUCCCCAACCCGGUCGCCCUCAUGAGGCCAAGAGGAGCAUCGUCGGGAGGAGUCAGCCCCCGUGGCCCCGCUGGCUCCGGAAGUGCCGGUGCCUGGCUCGGCUGAUGAGGUCCUGAAGGCUCGGGAGCCCUUGGUCUCCCAGGCUCUGGUGACAACGCCGCCUCCUCCUCCUGCUGCGCUUCUGGCCCCAGGUUCUUCUGCUUCCUCCACUGUCUUGGAGCGUGUCCUUUCGGAGAUGGCCCAGCUGCGGGAAUAUCUCCUGGGCGCGGACCCGCGCCUGGUAGCCGGGCGCCUGGAGCUAGCCUCUGGCUGGCUUCACUCCGACUCAGCGGUUCGAGCGUCGCUGAGCCAGGCCGCGGAGGCCUCCGAGAAGGAGAAGCAGGCCGCUGUCAAAGCUGCAGCCGAUCGUGAGGCGGCGCUGAAGGAUGCCAAGGCCGCCCGCGACCGCUGCCGAGAGCUGGAGGACGAGCUGAAGAGCCUGCGCGACCAGCACGCAGAAGAAGCACGUGGCCGCCAGGCGAGGGAGGAGGAGAUGAGGGCUCGGGAGGACGCCAUCAAGGGCCGCGACGCCGAGCUGGGGGAGCUGGCGAAGGCGCAGGCCGUGGAGCGCAGCCGGCUGGAGGAGUUGGAGCGGGAGGCGAAGGCGAGGGAGGCCGAUCUUGACGCCAAGGCAAAGGUCCUGGCUGAAGACCGCGUGGGCUUCUCGCUUCUUGAGGAGAGGUCCAGCGUGGCGCUGAAGUCACUGUACAAGAAGGGCUUGGAGAAGCCGCUGACCACCGAUGAGGAUGGCCCUGCUCAGCUGCUUCCCCACUUGGUGAAGGUGCUUGAGGAAGUCGUGGAGGGCAUCGGUCCCAUGGCUGAGGCAGAGGCUCGUGUCCUUUCUUUGGCUGCACAGACACGUGUCUUCAGCCAUCCGUACCUUCGCGACCCCAGUGCUCGUCUUGACGAGCUGCUGGAGCCUGUAGCUGAUGAACACUGCACGGCUGUCGCCGUAGCCGUGAAAGGUCAAGUGGAGGCCCUGCUGAAGAAGUUCCGCGGCUUCGUCCUCGCGCCCUCGACCGGCGAUGCCACCGAUCCUGCGGCUCCAUCUGGUGGUGCAGGUGAAGGCGGCGCUACCAAGGGAGGAGCACCUUCUGCGGGUGAUGGCGGUGUCCAGGGGUGACUUGCUUGCGGCUGCUUCCUUGUUUUAUCCCUGCAACAUGUAUCAUGCCUCGUGGAGGCAUUUAAACUCGUGCUUGGUAUUUGGGAGAACGAUAUUACUUGUAAUAUUUGCUUUGAGAUUUUGCGAUUUUCUUCCUAUUUGCUUUGUGUUCUGCGUCGGCAGAGCCCGGCCCCGCGCAUACCUCAACCGCCGUUGGGCCGACCGGAGAACAGGACGGACCAAGGAGUGAGGGGCUACGUGACUAGUUAGGCUCCUUUGUCGCAAUGCUCAGGAGUCCCCCUUGACGCGCAAACAGCUUAUAGGAAGGAUAUGCGAGGAUAGGUUAAUGUUCUACGUCGGCAAAGCCCGGCCCCGCGCAUACCUCAACCGCCGUUGGGCCGACCGGAGACCAGGACGGACCAAGGAGUGAGGGGCUACGUGACCAGUUAGGCUCCUGAGUCGCGAUGCUCAGGAGUCCCCCUUGACGCGCAAACAUUCUCCAUACCUUUGCCCUCGCCGAGGCUCAGCUCGGGAGGGGCGUGCGACGACCAGGUCCGAGGGACCUGGCUUGGGCGGCGUACGCUCAGGCGUGACCCAAGCGCAGCCCCUCGCGCGGCUCUCCUGAGGGGAGGUGUUGCGGUGAGGCCGGACACUGAGCUCUGGGGCUCCCUGAGGUUGGUACGGCCGUGAGGCUGCCCUCAGUUGUUUAUCACCAGCGUGGAGCAUAGUGCUUCCGCUUGUGCACGGGCAUAGCCGCUCCUCGGCAGUGUCGACGGCCAGCGUGGAGCAUGGUGCUUCCACUGGGCGUGGGAGGGGGGCUCCCUACUGCGGAGAGCCCCGGGGCGUGUACAGCCCCGCCCUGACACGUGGCUUGCACAGCAGGGCUGGACGAGGUGUAUCUAGGCACUCGUGAGCCAGCGGGACUCACGAGGCCCUACCUCAAGGUGGGUUGCGCCUGGUCUUGGUUCUUGUUCGCUGUGUUGAUCCUGCGAGGUGGUCAGCCAACCUGCGCCGAACGAAUCUCCUAAGGCUAUCGCGUGAGAAAGCCAAGCACCAACGGCCCCAGGAGGUGACGUGAACGGGGCCGGCCCGCCAGACAGAGCUCAGCCGUUGGAUUUAUCGACGCUGCAGGGACGGGCCCAAGCACAGACGCCGUGCCUAACCUACUCACGUGAAGGAUCCUGAAGAAGGAUGGCCGGCGCGCGGCUCCCAUGAUGGGUGACGAUCGAGCAGGUAAUAGUCAUAGAUAGGUUAAGCAUGGAAAGCAAAUUGGCUUAAGUAAAUGCAAGGGAGAUACAUGCCACUGGGUCGGGCCCGAGCGGCUUGGGGAUGAUGCAGCCCGAGGGCCGCCCCCAACAAGGUAAGCUAAAGACAUAAAAAGGGAUACAUGCCACUGGAACGGACCCACGUGGCCUGAGAAUGAUGCAGCCCGAGGGGCGCUCCCAGCUAAAUGAACUUGGAAAAUGUCACCUGGUUCUGUUGACAAAGGAGAGUUGGGGCAGCUGAAGGUACGCGGCGAAGGGAUUGCUCCUCACGAGCCACCGGGGCCCUGAGCCUCAGGAGGCUCUGGGGGUCCAGGUGGUUCCCUGAGGAUCGUCUCCAUCUCCGUCAGGACGGCGCGAUGCCUGGCCUCCUGAGCCACCAGGAUGCUCCGCGGGUUGCGCUGAUAGGCGGACGACACGCUCGGCAGGCCAAAAGGCAUGCGAACGUAGCUGUGCGGUGGACCCUCGCAGCGGCCCACGUGCGAAGGCCAAAAGGGCUCCUGAGAUGCUGUCCUAUUGAGCCCUGGGACGUCGAUGCAGACGCGCAGCCCAGCAUCCUCGCCUGGAUGGGGAGCUGCGCCUGGUGAGCGGCGGCCGCCGCGCAUGGCCCUUGCGUCUUGCAGUUCCUGAGUGGUUCUGGUGAUGAACUCCUGAGCGGUGGGCACUCCUCGCCCUAUGUUCUCCUGAGGGAAACGUGCCGCGAAGCACGCCUCCAAGUGGUGCCCGAGCGCCUCCCUUGUGAUGUUGGCAAGGUCGGAGGCCCUCCAGAAGAGAGCCCCCGAGCCCUGCCCGAGGAGGGCGCCGGGCGCGCCUUCCUAUGCGAUGGAGGGAGGCUCCCCUGGCACGGGCGCUGAUCCUGACGAGGUUCCAGUUGCGACGCCACCCUCCUGAGGUCCUGCACGGCGCAGCUGCUUCUUCUUCUUGGGGAUAGCCUCAGGAGGGCACUCGCCCUUGCUGUCGGGGUCGUCGAUUGCUGUAGCUUGAAAGGCACGCUCAAGGGAGCACACCGCAUCUCUUUCUUCGCAUGGGACCGUGAUGAUUCCACCGCUUCCCGGCAUCUUGAGGACAUUGUAGCCGUGAUGGGUCACCGCCAUGAACUUGGCCAGGGCUGGAUACCCGAGGAUGGCAUUGUACGGCAGGCGGAUGUGCGCGACGUCGAAGUCGAUGAGCUCGGUGCGGUAGUUCUUGCGUUCUCCGAAGGUGAUGGGGAGGUGGACCUGCCCGAUUGGGGGAGUGGAACCGUUGGUCACUCCUGAGAAAGGCUUGGUAGGCUGAAGCUGGUCAUACGGCACUUGGAGGUUGUCGAACGUGUCGCGGACAGGACGUUGAGCCCUGCGCCGCCGUCGAUGAGGGUCUUGGUAACAUGCACGUUGCUGAUGACUGGUGAACAAAGCAUUGGGAGGGCGCCAGCGGUAGCUGCGCACUUGAGCUGAUCUGCCGAACUAAAGGUGAUGGCGCACUUGGACCACCUGAGCGGACGUGUGGCCUCGAGCUUGGGGAGGACUGCAUUCACUUCACAAGCAAACUGUUUGAAGAUACGCUGCGAGGCUGGGGCCUGAGCUCCGCCCAAGAUGCAGGCGAUAGCACGCGGCUCCUGGAAGCCCCCAGCCCCCUCGUCUUGAUGGUGGUCGUCAUUUCUUCUUGGCGGUGGCGGUAGUGGGGGAAGACCGGCGUUGCCCUGAGGACGAUCCUCACGAGGCUGGUCCCUCCAGGCGCCCUCACGAGGCUGAUCCUGCCAGCGGUCCUCACGAGGCCGGUCGCACCACUCCUGGCGCAGGCCACGGUCAUCCCAGCGUCCGCCACCACGUCCUCCUCCUCGGCCGUAGCCCCGGUCGUUGCACUCGGGGCGUCGACCGAAGCGUCCUUCUCGAAUGGCUCUGAGCUCUUGACAGUCGCUGAUUUUGUGGGUACGCAGGUUAUGGAAGGCGCAGAAUGGUCGGCUGCUCUUGGAUGACUCGGGCUGGUCUCUGCCGCGCUUAGUAUCUGGCUCCGCCGCGAGCACGGCUGCUCCCUAGCGCUUCACGUCCUUGGCCUUGGCUUUCUUCUCCUCCGGGUCCGCAGCAUGAAGCUCAAGGAGGGAGAGGCGCCCUUCCUCAGCUCUUGCGCACUUGGUCGCCAGGUUGAACAGCUCCAGGGAUGUGCACAGUUCCUCGUGGAUAGCGAGCUCCUCCUUCAUCUUGACGUCGCAGACGCCAUCAGAGAACGCGGAGAUGAUGGCCUCGUCCGUCACCUUGGGGAUCUUGAGACAAACGUUGUUGAAGCGCUAGAUGUACUUCUGGAGGGUCUCUCCUGGUUGUUGCUUGACGUGACGCGGGUCACCCGCGGCCGGGGGGGCGGUCGCGAGUGCCCUGGAAGUUGGCGACGAAGUGGUUGCGCAUCUCGUCCCAUGAGGAGAUCGAUCCCGGAGGCAGGUUCAGGAGCCAGGAGCGGGCGCCAUCCUUGAGAGCCAUGGGGAACCAGUUCGCCAUGACUUUCUCGUCGCCAUUGGGCGCCUUGAUGCUCAGCUCGUAGAGCUGCAAGAACUCCGCGGGGUCGGGGGUGCCAUCGUAGCGAGGAGGCAGAUCUGGCUUGAACUUGCCCGGUCAGGCGACGCUGUGCAGCUCAGGAGUGAAGGCGCGGCAGCCGGCUGUGGUCACAGGGGCCCGUCUUGGAGGUGGAGCUUGGUCUUGAUGCCCCCGCGCCGCUACGGCGAGCGGCGUGGGGCCUUGUCGCGGCAAACGAUCCUGGCGCGGCGGUGCGAGGAGUGGCGGAGCGUUCUCUUGCGGUCGGGGGACUUCUUGACAGCUUCUUUCUUCACGUGCGGGCGCCUGAUGAGGUGGGUCGCGCUGCGGAGCCGCACGCCUUGGCGCCAGGGCGCCAUCUUGGGGCAGAGGUGGUGGAAGUGCUCCGUGAGCUACGUCACCCGUAGCUGGCGGAGGGCGAGGCGGAGAAAGGGACGGCGCAGGGGAGCCCCCUGCAGCGCGGACGAGCUCGGCGCUGCGGUUAAGCCAGUCCUCGUAGAGGUCGUUGACUGGGCGGUAGCGCAGGAGCUCGUGCGCCAUGAGAAGCGCGGCCCAUGCGUCCAUGGGAGCGCGACGAGCGUGGGACGACGAACCAGCGGGAGUCGGCGAUGGAGUGGCGGUGCGGCCGUCCCGCCGCACCGAGGGGUGCAGCAAGGACGCUUGCUGCUCGUUCCCCGCCGGGCCGGUGGCGGCAUUGGCGGCAGGCGACGGAGAACAACGAGGUGGCCCGAUGACGGGAGCCGUCUGAGCAACGCGGGUGGCGAGGGCAGCCCGGCGCUCGGCGCGGGCGCGGCGUGCGUCCGCCAUGGAGAUGACGAAGCGAGCGACGCGGAGCGAUGGAAGGGAAGCUUCGGCGCACCCCUACCUGGCGCGUCAAAUGUCGGAUCAUGGAUUCCGGCAAAACCCUUAAGGUUCGAACUCUGGGGUGCGCGCGAAGUUCUUUCCCUCCUACUGGUCCACGCCCUAACUUGCUAAGAUCUCGUGGACGAACUCACAACACAAGAGACGCAAGAUUUAUACUGGUUCGGGCCACCGUUGUGGUGUAAUACCCUACUCCAGUGUGGUGGUGGUGGAUUGCCUCUUGGGCUGAUGAUGAACAGUACAAGGGGAAGAACAGCCCCCUGAGGUUGAGGUGUUCUUGUGCUUGGUGUGUGGCUAAGGAUCAGGUGAGAUGCCUCUUAAUGAGUUAUCUCCUACGAUGGUGGCUAGUUCUAUUUAUAGAGGCCCUGGUCCUCUCCCCAAAUAUUGAGCGGGAAGGGAGCCAACAACGGCCAAUUUGAAAGGGGACAGCUAGUACAGCUUAUCCUGACAAAACCGGUCUUCGCCUGCAAAAGGUUCUGGUGGUGACGCCGCCUUGGGCUCCAUGGUGACCUCCAUCUUGCCGUCCUGCUGGUCUUGGUCUCGUUGCACUGAUAUGGAAACCUUUGCUUGAUGCCUCGGUACUCCGCGCCUGCGCUUGCCUCCUUAGUACCAAAGGGGAAACAAGGACGCUGCGCGCUGGUGCCCGCCUGGUCUCGAUCGUCAUGGCUCACAUCACGAGAACCUCGCGAGGUUUGCCUCGCCUUGAUCUCUCCGCUCCUCGCGAGCCUGCCUGGUUAGGCCGCUCCUGAGGAGGUCAUGUGUCGUCCGCCUCGCGAGGCUUGGUCCCUCGCGAGGGUCUUGAAUGCCUUGUUGAUGAAGAUGGUCCGUACAUGCCUGCUAGCACAGCCACGCCGUGGGCUGCAGGCAGGCAAGUCUGGGGACCCCCGUUCCCAGAACGCCGACACACGCGUUGACGUUACCAUCCUUAUUAUCUACCAAGUACUUGGGGUAAUUCCUUUUCCAGUGACCAUUCCCCUUACAGUAGAAGUACUCAGUCUCAGGUUUGGGUCCAGCCUUGGGUUUUAUUCACGGAAGCGGAAACUUGCUUGCCGCUCUUCUUGAAGUUCCCUUUCUUUCCCUUGCCUUUUUUCUUGAAACUAGUGGUCUUAUUAACCAUCAACACUUGAUGCUCUUUCUUAAUUUCUACCUCCGCGGCCUUAAGCAUCCCGAAUAGCUCGGUGAUCGUUGUCUCCAUCCCUUGCAUAUUAUAGUUCAUCACAAAACCCUUAUGGCUUGGUGGAAGUGACUGGAAAACUUUGUCAACUGUUGUCUGUAUGGAAGAUUAACUCCCACUUGAUUAAGCGAUUGUAGCACCCAGAAACUCUGAGCGCAUGCUCACUAACUAAGUUAUUCUCCUCCAUCUUGCAGGCAAAGAACUUGUCAGAGGUCUUAUACCUCUCAACAAGGGCAUGGGCCUGAAAUACCAAUUUCAGCUCUUGAAACAUCUCAUAUGUUUCGUGGCGUUCAAAACGUGUUUGGGGCCCUGAUUUCAGUCGUAAAGCAUGGCGCACUGAAUUAUCGAGUAGUCAUCAGAACGUGUCUGCCAGACGUUCACAACAUCCACAGAUGACGCUAGAGGGGUUGGCAGACUGAGCGGUGCAUCAAGUUCAUAAGCCUUCUGUGCAGCAGUGAGGACAAUCCUCAGACUACGGACCUAAUCCGCAUAAUUGCUUACAAUAUCUUUCAAUCUAGUCUUUCUCUAGGAAUGUAUUAAAACAGGAAGCUACAGAGCGAGCUAUUGAUCUACAAUAUAAUUUGCAAAGACAAUUUAGACUAUGUUCAUGAUAAUUAGUUAAGUUAAUCAAAUUACUAGUGAACUUCUACUUAAAUCAACAUCCCUCAAGUUGUCUAAGUGUUCACACGAACCAACCCAUGUCCAAUCAUCAUGUGAGAUGGGGUGGUCAUCAACGAUGAACAUCUCCAUAUUGAUCAUAUCUACUAUAUGACCCGUGAUCGACCUUUCGGUCCUCCGUGUUCCAAGGUCAUGUCUGUACAUGUCGACCGAAGCCUAGCACCCCCCUUUCGAAUGAGGGGGUAUGAGGGGUUUUCGCUCUUCCUUUUACUUCAAAUGAUUGAAGGGUAACAUCGACAUUUAAAGUCCAACUCUACAAACAAACAAAUACCCAUUCCCUAAAAAAAAAGACCCAUUGUACCACCGUCUCAAAAGGGAAAGAAAGGGUGCGCCUUCUUCGCCACCGCCGAUGGCGCAGUCGCUGGCGAUGACGGCGAUAUGCCGCCUCCGCGGUGCCGCCACCCACUCCUGCGGCGGGCACUGGCGCCGCCUCUUCUCCCGCUCCCCCGCCGCCUGCGCUCCUCUCCUCGGCCACUUCCACCACCCCACUCCGACGCCGCCCAGUCCCAAAACCCCAGCUCCGUUCCCCGCCGUGCCCCCUUCCGCCUCCGCCUCCGCCUCGGCCCCCGCGUUCCANNNNNNNNNNNNNNNNNNNNNNNNNNNNNNNNNNNNNNNNNNNNNNNNNNNNNNNNNNNNNNNNNNNNNNNNNNNNNNNNNNNNNNNNNNNNNNNNNNNNNNNNNNNNNNNNNNNNNNNNNNNNNNNNNNNNNNNNNNNNNNNNNNNNNNNNNNNNNNNNNNNNNNNNNNNNNNNNNNNNNNNNNNNNNNNNNNNNNNNNNNNNNNNNNNNNNNNNNNNNNNNNNNNNNNNNNNNNNNNNNNNNNNNNNNNNNNNNNNNNNNNNNNNNNNNNNNNNNNNNNNNNNNNNNNNNNNNNNNNNNNNNNNNNNNNNNNNNNNNNNNNNNNNNNNNNNNNNNNNNNNNNNNNNNNNNNNNNNNNNNNNNNNNNNNNNNNNNNNNNNNNNNNNNNNNNNNNNNNNNNNNNNNNNNNNNNNNNNNNNNNNNNNNNNNNNNNNNNNNNNNNNNNNNNNNNNNNNNNNNNNNNNNNNNNNNNNNNNNNNNNNNNNNNNNNNNNNNNNNNNNNNNNNNNNNNNNNNNNNNNNNNNNNNNNNNNNNNNNNNNNNNNNNNNNNCACCGCCGAUGGCGCAGUCGCUGGCGAUGACGGCGAUAUGCCGCCUCCGCGGUGCCGCCACCCACUCCUGCGGCGGGCACUGGCGCCGCCUCUUCUCCCGCUCCCCCGCCGCCUGCGCUCCUCUCCUCGGCCACUUCCACCACCCCACUCCGACGCCGCCCCGUCCCAAAACCCCAGCUCCGUUCCCCGCCGUGCCCCCUUCCGCCUCCGCCUCCGCCUCGGCCCCCGCGUUCCAACCCCUCACCUCCUCCUCCCCGCGCCUCUCCCUGGACUUCAUCCCUCCCGGCUUCUCCCUAUUCGACUCCCACCUCGGCCUCCUCGUCCUCCUCAAGGAGACCGAGCCAUACUCCUACCUCAAGCACCCCCAGAUCCUCGUCUGCGACCCGGUCUCCCGCCGCACCGCGCUUCUCCCUCCGGGGAUGGUCACCUGCACGUUUAGCAAGCUCGUAAGCGUCGUGAUCCUCUCCCGCGACGCGGACGACCCGGCCGGGUCCGGGCUCCGCUUCCGGGCAGCCGUCGUCACCCUCGAGGACACCACGCUGCGCGCCUUCGUGGCGACGUUCCGCGACGGCAAGUGCCACUGGGAGUGUCUGCUUCGGUCGCAGGCGAGAUGCAACGUCGACCAGCUGGAGCGCCACUGCGUGCGCGCUAGCCGGUUCCUCAUCUGGCACAUCCGCGACGAAGGUGCCGUGCUCACAUUUGACCCUGAGACACUGGAGUUCGGCUUCGUGCUCGCGCCGGCCGCACUCGACAUGGGGGGUCACUUUCUCAAGUACCGCGUCGGGUUGAUGCCGGACGGGCGGUUCUGCUUCGGUUCGAUGUCAAGGGAUCACGAGAACCUGGAGCUCCGGGUGCUGGGGCCCGAGCCGAAGGACGGCGAGAACGUGUGGGUACUGGAGAGGGAAGUGUGCUUGCUCCAGGCGUUCGACGAAAUGCCGCAGCUGCCCUCGAGUUUCAUCGCCCGGCGCAAGUGCACUUGGCUGAGCGACAUGGAUGCCGGGCGCACCGGGAGGGUGUUCAUCGGCACGUCAGGCUAUGGGCACUACUCGUACCAUCUGGACACCCGGAAGCUCGAGCGCCUGGUGAUGGACGACGGCGAGCAGUACGGGCACCCCAUGUUUGCCUACUUCUCCUUCCCGGGCUCGGAAGGCGGCUCUGACUGACAGACUCCUGGUAAUUAAUCAUGUCCUCGCAUCCCAGUUUCAUGUAAUGUCGGUUUAUGAGUAAUGCUUGGUCAAAAGAUAUCUGUGUGAAGUUUGUUGCCUUGGGUACUUUGGUGAACUUGAACCUAUAUUAGUUUUAUAUAUAUUCGUCAACCCAGUUCAUCAAUAGUUUAUAAUUAGGGGAAUAUAUGCAUUCAAAGAAUUUCAAGCUCUAGCGUGUUCUCUGAUGAUCAUGUCGUGUUUACUGAAGCUUGGGUGUCUACUGGCAGAAGCUUCUGUUCUGUAGAUAGCAUAUGUUUUCGAAAUCAAACUUGUACUGGAGAAAUAUAGCAUGCAUCAUUGAUAUACAAUAUCACCUCUGCUCCGAAAUAUAAGUCGCUGGGGGAGUUCAGUUUAGAGUUUACACUCCCCCAACGACUUAUAUUUAAGAACGGAGGGAGUAGAAGAUAUGCAUGUAUGAUUGUGGCAGUGUGACAAUAUUCAUUUUUAAUGUGUAGAAUUACAAGAUGACUUGAUUAUAAAAAUAACUUAAACUCAAGUGAUCUUGGAAAAAUUACAUGCCAGGCCUGUAAAACUGCAAUUGAAAAUAUUAUUAAUGCUUGAUUCAAACACCUCCAUAUUAGAAAAUGGAAAUGCUAGGUCAUCGAGGUUGAUCAACAAUGCCAACAUUUAUGUAGAUCGAUUUAUGUAGUGAUGUGUUUUAUCCAUUAACAUAAUGUGCAAAAAUUUAUCAAUAAGAGUAGAAAGGAAAAAACAUCUAGGGAUGAAGCGUCGACCAUCCAUGUAUUUUCCAGAAGUGCAUCUUAAAGAAGAGAAGCUAUCACUACAUUUGCACUAGGUGGGAAUCUCUAGCAACAGCCUUCACCAUUCUCAUUGACAUGCAUAGAAAGAAGCUGAUUAAAUUCAGUUAACAGCAGGUACUACAGAAGAGUGUAUUCCAUAAUUGUGUUGUCUGAUCAAGUGAUUGGGCAUUACAUCUGAGUUUGACUUGAUGAAUUUAGAACUGGACUGGUAACAUGGUGAUGAAUUUAGUAACUUUUCUCAUUUCUAUUCAUAUGAAUCUGCACAGUCUUCAGAACUUUUUUCAAGAAAGCACUUGCGUUAUGUCCCCUUGGUCUGUAGAAGUAACAUUUGACCCGCGAACUCCGGUGAAUAUAUGGCCUUUUUUAGUCAUGAGUCAUUUCUUAAACAAAUUGGGCUUGUUAUUCGCUUAGAGAACCCCUAUUUCAUUGGUUAGUUCACUGGGAACUGUGCUGAUAACUCUGCAUAUCUUAUUAUUCAGGGUGAAGUGAGAAGAGGUACCACGCGAUUUUGCCUGAAGAUGGCUCAACCGUUGCAUUUCUGGUUACGUCUGUGCCUUAUUACUCAGCAUUGAAGAUUGAACACAAAGAGGAUAAUGCCCAGAAUCUCUGAUUUGCUGUCCUUGAUGGGACUAUUUAAACAAUGUUGUCGCUAUGUUUGUUAAGCAUGCUUCGGAGUAGACGGUGUCUUGAAGAAUUAGGUGUGUUUUGAAGUAGUGUGCUGUUUCGCAAGGAUAGUGUCACAUUUAUGCUGUGUUUUGGCAAACCAUAAGAAAUGCAGAGUUUAUCACUUCAUUGGUCAACAUCUUUAAUUUGUGGGCUACAUACAAGCCUACAAUCCAAAAUAGUCUAUCAGAACAACCUAUAAACAUUCUUGUAUUGCACAAUUCCAAGAAAUCAUUCUGUUUUGGAUGGUUAAGCUUAAAACCUGGUCGUUUACUAUGCUGGUUGCUUGUCAAACUGUUUACAGUUUACUUCUUGGAAUAUGCAGAUUCUAAUGGAUAAAAUCCUUGCAGCUACGUACAGUAGUGUCCAAGCCUGUAAGGAUAGUCUGCCUCCCGCUCAAAUAAGAGAAGAACAACACAAGUGAUCAACAGAGGAAAUUCAAUGCAUAAUCCUUCUACCUGUAUAUAGACCUGCAAGCCCAAACUCGGCAGAACAUGAACGGCAACAUCUAUGUAUGUAUGCAUCCAGUUCUUUCUCCGAACCAGAGGAGGAGAUACACAAAAAAGAAAAGUUUUGAUUGAUUCAUUCUGACCUCACCUAUCCCUACUCAUCAUCAUCAUAUUUCUACGUACCGCAUCGGCCCUGUGCUACCCACAAGGCCACAAACUCAACUAGAUUACAGGCAGACCAGACCAAACCCCACAACAAGGAAAAAAAGAAACACCAGCACCAACGAGAGUCACCAAACAGAAUACACAGGGAGGGAGGGAGGGCACGCUGCCCGUGCGUUUUCCGAACUUUUUGCCUCGGAAGAAGAAAAACUGCUCCACGAACCAACCGGGGAUGUACGACGGCCUAUCGAUCAGAUCCAACGGCUAUGCCGGCGGCGAGGUGAGGUGCGGUCCGGCCGUUUCAG